AAAUUUUACUUCCACAAAUUAUGAUUUAUUACCACAAUUUUAUAUAUUACAAAAUUGCUAAAGAUUAGCACAAUAUAAUGUGUGAUAAUUUUACCACGAAUUACAAGAAAAGUAUGGCGAGUAAAUAAAAUUCAUUACAUUAAAAACUAAAAUUACGAAAAACAAAAUAAAAAUAAAUCUUCUAUGACGCUGGAGGGACCGAGAGUGGCGGUGGAGGGACCGAGCAGCAGUGGAGGGCCAACAGCAGCGACGGAGAUAAUGACAACAGUGGUGGAAAGAUCGACAGCAGCGGUGGAGGGAGCUUCAGCGGCAGUGGAGCAACCGUCAGCAGUGAUGGGGAUGAGGUGGAAUAAGCGGCAGCGGUGGGGAAAGUAGAGAGAUCGUUGAUGAAUAUGGCAAAGAAUAGGGAAAUAGAUCUGAAAAAAUGGUGAAAAGUAAAGUUAGAUCUCAAAAAUGGCUGAAAGCGAUUGUCUUUUUCCACAUAAAAUCAAAUCUGACAUAAUAAAUAAAUAGAUCUAGAUAAAGAGAGAGAAAAGAGCAGUGAAGAAAGGGAAAAGAAGAGAAAGAAAGAAAAUGCAAGAGAUAGAUCGGGCGAACAAGAAAGGAAGGAAGAGAAGAAAACAAAAGUAAGGUGGAGAAGAGAAGGAAAGAAGGAGAUCGGUGGAGAAGAGAAGAACAACAAAUGAUAUAAAUUAAAACAAAUUUGCCAUAAAUGCUCACAAUUUUUAUAUUUUGGCAAAUUUAAAAAUCUCUGAUAAUAUAGUGGCAAAUAUUAAAAUAAAUUUUACAUAAAAAUUUGUGGUAAAUACUUACCACGGAAUGCCACCAAAUUUGUUAACGUGGCAAAAUUGUUACGAAUUUGCCACAAAAUACAACAAUAUUUUAAAAAAAUUAUUUGUAGUAAAUUUGUUAUAAUUUCGUGGUAAAAUAUCGUUACCACAAAAUAAUUGUGACAAAAUUCUGAUUUGGUUAUUCCAAAAUAUAGAAUGAUCUUUGACCAGAAAUUUAAAUUUAAUCAUAAAUGAUAAAAGUAAUGAAAGUUAAAUACGAAAUUUUGCUUGGAUUUGGUUAUUCUCUGUAUUUAUUGUGGUAAUUUAAUUUUGCCGGCAAACGAAAAGACACCUUUAUCGUCUCUGUUCAAUGUCUCUCUUCAAAGACAGCUAUUCGGCUCUAUUAAAACCGCACUACCUCUUUAAAUUCAAUCCCUUCACCGUAACUUCCUACUUAUAACCAUCAUAACUUCCUCUAUCAUUCCAUUUUCUUCUUCCUCAAUCCCUUUUCUUAUCCAUUCUAUUUCCCUUUUCAUCGAAAUAAACCAUGGUUUAAAGGAGAAACAGAGGUGGUGAUGGUGAUUUUUCCCAUCUUCUCUCGCUCCCUGAUGAAUUGCUGGAAACAAUUCUGGCCGCAACAAACCCAUCUUUAAGGGAAAUAGCCCGCCUUCGUGCUGUAUGUUCUCAUUCAACAAUAUCGGCACAAGCAAGGGUUUCUAUCAAGCGAUUGAUCCUGCCCAAAUCCUCCAUGAACAUGCGGCAGUUCCACAUUACCCAACGAUGCUGAGGAGAUUCCAUGACGCGGGUAAUCCAGGGGCUAUUUUCCAGAGGAGGAUGCAAGCUUACUUUCUGUUCCACGAUGGUGAAGGCGUGGAAUUGAUAAGGGAUGCUACGGAGAGAGGAUACGACCGAGCCAUUUUUGUGUACGGGAUGUGGCUGAGAGCAGUGACGAAAGACUUCGUCCGUGCAGAGGAGUAUUUGGGCAGGCUCACCGUGCAAAAUCGGAGGAGGAUGAGCCGGAUGUUGCUGGCCCACGUUCCACAUGGAUGGAAUUUCGACUUGCCAAUCGAUUUCACUGAGAAAGCGGCUACCUUUCAUCCGAGAUUCCUGGCGCUGUACACCUGUCAGUGCGGGGUUAUCAAUUACUGGCACCAAUGGUUUGAAGAAGAUUUUAAGGAGCCAAAGUGCAUAACAUGUUUCUGGGCCCAAGAGACCUAAAGGUUCUUCCGCUUCAUUCGGAAUGUCGUUCCAAGCUGGUCGUUGAUGAUCGAUUGGUGAAAGCCGUAACCUUAUGUGUCUUAGUAUUUCGUUGCAUUUCGUGUGUCUUUAAUUAUUGAUGUUGUCUUAGUAUUUCGAACUACAAGUGAUGUUUUUGAUUUGCAUGUCUACUUUCAUUUUUUUAGUUGCAACUCUUUCUUACUUUUUGUAUAAACAUUAUCUUUCUUAGUAGUUGAUUUUAUGAUAAUUAUGUUGGUAAAUGUAUUAAUUUAUCAUAAAGGUGUUUAAAAUUUUUAAAAAUAGAUAAAUUAUCCUUCCAAAAUCGAAAUGAAAGUGGUUGGACAUCAAUUUUAUCUCAUUGACAUUAAUUCAUGAUGUACACCUAUUCACGUAUACCUAUGUACAUACACCUACUUACGUAUACGGGAUCAUAAACCGAUUUCAAACAUAAAGCUGUUUGAAAAUAAAAUAAAAUUACACAUUUUUAAAUGUAAACUUUGAAAUGAGAGUGCUUGGACAUUAAAUAAAUACGUUGUUGGAUAAUUUAUGAUGUACUUGGACAUACGCUGUUUGAAAUGAGAGUGCUUGGAUAAUUUAUCCUUCCAAAACUCGAAAACAAAUUGGUUGGACACCUAUUGACAUAAAUUUUAUCUCAUUGACAUUAAUUAUUGAUGUACACCUAUUCGCGUAUACCUAUAGACAUACACCUACUUACGUACACGGGAUCAUAAACCGAUUUUAAACAUAAAGCUGCUUGAAAAUUAAAUAACAUUACAAAGUUUUAAACGAAAAAUUUGAAAUGAGAGUUCUUGGAAAUUAAAUAAUUACGUCCACCAAAGGUCGUAUACCUAUUUACGUCCACCUACAUAGGCAUACGAGAUUGUAUACCUUUUUGAGACAUAAAGCUGUUUGCAACUAAAAUAAUUAAUUACUCUUUCAAAAUUUAUAAACUUCAUAUUUAGUUUUGUUAUAAAAUUUAAUUUAUUAAUACAUCAUCAUUUUUAGUUUUGUAAUACAACUUCUUCAUGAAAGGCAAUCCACCACAACAAUGGGAAAAUAUAUUAAAAUAUUAUAUUUUAAAAAACAAGCGACAAGGGACCAUACCACAUCGAUACUAAAGCAUGUACGCUAUGCGAUGUACCAAACAAGCGACAAGCGACCAUAUGUAUCUUUAUUACGUUGCCAAAAUGACCAGAAUAAGGAUAGUAGCUCUUCGGCCACUUCACGAAGUUCACGCGAAUGAUGAGGAUAAUGGUACCUGAAAACCAUCUUUAGAAGUUUUUCCCCUCUGUUAGGGCGACCCAGGCACAUUUGCAAAAUGGCACAGCUGUAAGUGGCAUAGACGUCUGAUGGAACGAGCUUAUUUAGCAUCCUGAUGGUGGUAUAGAUCUUCUCCUCUGUUGCCACGAACCUUAUAGCUUCGAGCAAUAUGGCCCGUGGAUUUCUAGAGGCUAAGCAGCGCAUGAAAAAAGGCCAAUAUACUGCACCAGGGUAUAUCCGAGAAGGUGUGUCAUGCAAUUGCCAUAGGCUCGCCGAUCUGAGUACUUCCAUGCUAAACGCAAUGUCUCUACCCCGGGUCCUUGCCAGAAUAAUCGGUCUAAGGUAUAUGCAGUCAGCCUUAGCUACUUUCUUGACAAUGAUUUCGAAAACAUGAUCUGGUAAAUCUCGCAUUUUUUGGGAAGGUUAUAGGGUUUGUGUAGGGUGAACUAUGUUCUCAAUAUUAUGAACUAUGUUCUCAAUAUUACCAUCAUUCUAUCUCUAUUAUAUUGAAUUCGAUGGGUUGUUCUUGUUGAGAAAUAGUUAAUGGUAAGACAAUUAGUUCUCUUACUUACUUUUUGAAGUGAUGUUUACUUACUUGGAGCCUUUAAUUUAGUUACGUUCUUAGUAGUUUCGUUUAAUGUGUAGUUGCAACAGAAGUAAUAUUACAAUAAGUUUGUGAAGUGAUGUUUACUUACUUUGUAGCUUUAAUUUAUUACCAAAGAUAACUACUGAAAGAUAAUUACUGAAGGUAGUUGUUACUGUCAUUGUUACUAAAGAUAACUACAAAAAUUAAACUACUGGUUACAUUGUUACUACUAGUUACGUUCUUAGUAGCUACUUGUUACAAUAAGUUUGUGAAGUGAUGUUUACUUACUUUGCACCUUUAAUUUAUUACAACAAUUAAACUACUAGUUGCAAUUAAAAAAACUAAACUACAAGUUGCAAACGAAUAGCUAAAAAAAAUAGCUUAUGCGCAGAGCCGUGCAUUAUAGAAGACAAUACUCGCAGUCUGGUGUUUUAUAUCGGAUACAUAUUUACGUAAUUAAUGACGAAACUAACAAAUGCUUGGACAAUACAUGAAAUCGAUUUAAAAAAUUAUAUAAAGUCAUAAACUUCGACAAAAACAAACUAACAAAAUUCACGACAAUAUUUAAUUUCAAAUAAAUAAUUAAAGGGAAAUAAAAUAGUGUUCUUAUUUUUUGCAAAAGAAAUAACACAAUUCCACAAACAAAAGAAAUAGAAGAAUUCACGACUUCAUGCUCCUCUGGCGUGCUCCACCGUCCAUGCAAGUGCAGUGGUUUCAAAAGCAGUCCUGUCUUCCACGUAAAUCGUUGCAACUUCUUCAACAAAAAAGUGUCCUUCACUUAUUUGGGGGGCAGUUAACAUUUGGUGUAUUUCAGUGAGUACCUGAUUACAUAGAGAUAGAUACACAGUUAAGCCCUGAUUUCAUUGAAAUUAAGACUUAUUAAGCAAAAGACAAUAACGAUUUCUUUCUUUCAUAAGUAAAAAUACAUCAUUGAUGCUGUUAUUGGUCUUGGAGUGAGUUGGGUUCAACAUCUUAAGAAAAAUGUUCCCAUAAGUAUUAAUGUUUGGGUGAUACACUUUUGUUUUGAACGUCACCUGCAAGAACAUUGUUAUUAGUAAUUAAAAUCUUUAUUGACUAAAUCCCUAACUAAAAAUACAUAAAUUUAAGAGAGCAAUUAUAUGCUUCAUUCCUUAUCCUCGGUGGCGCGAAAGGGUAGUCAAGCGGAAAGUGAAUGUCUAGUUUGAAAACCCCAUUCUCAUAGGGUGAACCUUUAGGCCCCAUUAUGAUAGCUUCCCAGUGAUACAAGUCCUCACCCACAGGUCCUAAUCAAAUCGGCAAAACACUAAUUAGGUAGACGAUAUAAAAGACCAAAAACUGUUAAGCAUUAACCUAUCCUCAAAAGCUAAAACUAAAAAACUACCCUAUUUUCAAAAGAACCAUCAAUUGCAAUGAGAUCACUUUGGCAGAGUACAUUUUUAGAAAGUAACUAUUAAUUUUUGUAAUUAACUUUUGCAGUCUCCCGAAACUUGUUUCACUGAAGAAGGCAGGAGACGGUUUUUAUAGAGGACGAGAGGAAAAACAUUUUAAAGAGAGCAAAACGAGACGGUCAACGGUGCCUGAAAAAAAAAACGGGUUUCUAAAAAGGUUCUUAAUUUUUUUUUGUCAUUUCCUAUUUGAUUUUUUGGGUCGCGUUUAUUCGGCAUACACUGUUUUCCAAUAUUACGGUUUUUCAAAAACGUAAUGAAUUGAUUCUUGAAAAAACCGUUUAUUUGUGCUGUCUUGUCCUACAAUUUCAUUUCAGAGACACGAUCUUUGUCCAUCUUCUAGAUAAUGUUUUCUUUCUGUGCUAUAGAACCAUGUCUUUGAUAAUUAUUUUGAUCCUCUAAACAAGUAAAACUCUAAACCCUAAAUCGUAAACCCUAAGCCCUAAACCCUAAACCCUAAACAUAAGCCAUAAUGUGCAUACACCUAUAUUUAUAUGCGUACACCAUAUAAUGUAAACUUAGCCAUAAGGCAUAAUGUGCAUACAUCUAUAUUUAUAUGCAUACACCUAUAUUUAUAUGCGUACACCAUGUUGUCCACCGUGACAGGUGUACACAAACUGUGUACAUCUUGUCCAGUAUACAUCAUAAAAUUUAUAACAAAUAUAACAUAGUUCAUGCCUUGCCAAGUUAAGUAUAGGGAAACAUAGUUUACACAAGAAACAAAAUCCGAAAACCAAAGCGAGAUCCACCCAGAAAACCCAACAAGACCCCCACAAAAACAAAUGUGGCUCACUCUUUCCAAACACAACAAAAGACACACAAAAGCCACACCCGGUCAACCCAAUGGUUCCUUGCAUUUUGCCUGGUUAUGGCCGGGAUUUCCACAUCUCGAGCAUUUGUUUGGCUUCUCUUUUUUUGCAACCUGCAACAACGUAUAUCAGUAAUCAAUAAUACUAUGACUGGGAAAGAUAAUUGUUUAGGUGUAUACUAACCUGAGGAUACUCUCCUGCUGAAAGUUUUCUCUUUGUCGUAGGCCUUCCUGAUUGACGUUUUGACUUAGGUGGCAUAAUAUUCAGGUCACUGAUAACACCGUAUUUUGACCACUUUUAUGGAUCAUAAUUGUAUCUUAUGCAGGUGUUUUAACUCUGUUUUCAAUGGUUUUUAAAGUUUUUUCAAUUUUUUAGAGUUUUAAAAGACUUUACAGGAAACUUGGGCAAAAGAUAUGCAAUUUGGAACAAACGAGCAAUUUUGGAUAAAUGCAGACCGUCAGAAAUAUGACAAGCGAUGAAGACCUUCUAAACGUCUGAUCACCCCCAAAAUUUGAGACAACAUAGAGGAUCCAACCAGCUUUCUAAUUCACUUGGUUUGGAGAGAAUCCAACGGUUAAAUCUUCAGAUACUCUCGAUGCGAGAAUGACAGAAAAUGCAGUUCCGGAAGAGAGCCAUGUGCCGGGACCGCGGCCAACACCUAUUUUCCCGCGGGUAGAGCCACCGCGACCGCGGUACUUGGUCGUUCACUUUCCAGACGACAUUAUUAAAGCCCAGAUCAAUUCCUUUCGUUAUUUUUGAAGCCCUAAGUGUCCAGGACCACCCCAGAAGCUAUAAAUACCCUCUUUAGGUCAUUCUAAAGAGAGGAAUGGAAGGAGAGACAAACUUAGAGAGAGAGAUAUAGAGAUUUUCGUGUGAGAAACCCUAGGAGGCCGCCGCCUUUGAAGGAGGAGCCGUCGAGGAGAGCAUCAUCGCGCCUCCAUCUGCAAUUCCGUUCUUUGUUCUUCUUCCUUGUUCUCUUUAAUUUCCUGCACUUUCAAUUUCGUUUAUGAUGCUUUGUUACAAUAUGUUUGAGUAGUUACCCAGUUGGGUUUAAAGGGAUUUUUCAAAGGGAAUUUAUGAAUCGAUAGAUUUAGGAUUAUUAAUCUUCUAGAUGUUCUUCGUUUGCCUUUAAUCUUACUGCGUGAUUCUUUGCUGGCCACUUAGAAGCCGAUCUGACAUGAUAUGUUGCAAAAGCUUUCAUUGAUUGUCUGAACUAGGGUGAAACGAGCAAUGAUUCUAUAGGAGUGGAAACCUACCUGUAGUUGAGUUGUGAAUAUUGAUGAGUCUUGUUCUGCUAUUGCAUUUUCUCCCUUCCAGGAUCAGAGUGGAAACCUACUGAUCAGGGUUGCGAGAGAUAGUUGUUUAGUGCUGCGAAAGUAGGCUAUUCAUACUUCCAUGCCUCGAGUUCUAGAAUAUACGUAGUUGAUUACCUUUAUCACUUGUUUAAAAUCUACCUAGCAUAGACUUGAACCCCUGCGAGUUCCCCUUGAUGCCCAACGUUUGUUUCCAUUGUUUACAGUCUUGCUUUUCAAUCGCUAUUUACUUGCUUUCAUUCGCUUUUGUUUAAUCGAUUUUACCUGCUUUUUUUUGCUUUCGUUUUCAAUUGCUCUUUAGUUUUUACUUGCUUUCUAGUUUAGAUUUAGUGACAACCAAAACCCAAAACCAAAACCAAAACCCUUUUUAGUUUUAGUCUGAUUUAAGCAUUGCAGUGAAUUCGUACUGAAACAACUAAGUCUUUGUGGAUCGAUACCCUAAGUACUACAGCGCACAUCUGUGCACUUGCAGACAUUUAGGGGUUAUAAAUUUAAAACCUGAAGCUUAGUAGAACGAACCAAUACCCCGUUUACAAACCGCAAUCAAGUUUUUGGCGCCGUUGCCGGGGACUUUGAUUUGUUUCGUUGCGAAUCCCAGCUUAAAUCCAUUAGAACACUUUUUUACUUUUACUUUUUCUUUUGAAAUUUUCAGGUUUCUCUGCAAUGAGAGGCCGGGAACAUGUUCCUGGGACUCUUGGUGAUCCACCAAAUCGUGUGGAUGGUGAUCCAAGCGAUGAUGACCUGACUGAUGACGAGUUUGAAGAACCGAUCUAUGAUGACAAUGAACUGAUCGGAUCGACAAAACGUGAAGAUGAUGAUGAACUGAUUGGAAGUUUCGAUUCACUCGAGAAAUUCUUGUGAGAUCGAAGAGCUUUUCAACCAGCCUUACCAGAGGAAGGCAAAACCGAAAUUGAGGUACCAUAUAUCCAUUUAGUUCAACAAAAUCAAUUCCGUGGUUAUUCAUUCGAAAACCCGAUUGACCAUAUCGAGACGUUCGAAGAAUUAUGUGCAACCAUUACAGCAAAUGGGGAUUACACAAGUGUAGUCUUUUCCCAUUCUCUUUGAGAGACAAUGCCAGUAAAUGGCUAAAAUCUUUAGACCCUGCUUCACUAAAAUUGUGGGCAGCAUGUAGAACUGCUUUCCUAAAUCGUUUUUAUACUAAAAAUCGUUCAAAUCUUUUAAGAAACAAGAUAUGAACUUUUAAACAAAAAGAAGAUGAAGAUCUUUUAGAUACUUGGGAAAGAUUUAGGGAAUACCAAAGAGAUUGUCCACACCAUGGAUAUACCGAGGAAUACCUGCUGGGUAUCUUCUAUCACGGUAUAACUCCAGAGUUACAACACUCUUUCAACACAGCAAGUAAUGGAGACUUCUCAACUAGAUCUGUAGAAGAUGCUCAUGCUUUCAUCAACAAUUUCGCAAACAGAAUCCGAAAUCAAGUAACCUUUGGUAAUUUUGCACUUCCUGAGAAGAAAGAAGAAAUUUCGGAAGUUAUGAACUGUCUCCAUCACAUAAUGAGUCAUCUUGGAUUGCAACAACCAAAUAAGGUACACAAUACGUGUAACUUUGACGGCUGGGACAACCCAAUGGAUUCUUAUGAUCAAGGGAUGUGAACACUGCAGAAGUCUAUCAAAUUCAAGAUUUUCCCUUCGUUUCUGAUCACCGCGGGUCCAUUCAUCCGGACCGCGGCAAACCAAGCUUUCACCGCGGUCGUGAUGCUACUGACCGCGGCCAAGACAUGUUUCACCGCCGUCGCGAGCCUUCUUACCGCGGGAAAUUAUCUUCCGAGCUUGCCUGGAAAUUACCUUCCGAACCAAUCUUGGCUAUUCAAUCUAAUCCUGUUUCAUAUCCUAGUUUUCCCUCUUCUGAAGCUGAAAACCUAAACAAAAGAAUUCUAGAGCUUGAAAAAUCUAGGUCUCAAGAGAUUAGUGAUCUUAGAUCUGAACUAAAAACGAUGCAAGAAGAUUUCAAUGAAAAAUUUUCCACCCUCCUUAGCCUGAUAAUCAAAACUAAUUAUAAAAAUUUAGAAAAUUCUGAAGAGGAGCCAAGUGAAAAUUCUUUCGAAAACUCAAGUGAAGCAGAUCCCUCUGAUCAUGUGAAAGCUAUCACACUUAGUAGUGGAUUAGCUUACAAAGAGCCUGAAUUUCCUAAAGAUCCUGAAGAUGAGGAAAAGGGUAAGGAAAAGGAAAAAGAAAGAAUCACGAAUGAAGAUGUUGAAAGAGAAGUGGUAGGAGAGAAGGAUGGAGAAGAAGUAAGAAAAGAUUCAUCCCGGGAAAUCCUUGGAGAAGAUCCAAUUCCACCUCCACCAACUCGUGUCAAUAAACCUAAACCUCCAUAUCCUAGAGCCUUAAGAGCCCCUAAGAAGGAGAAAGAAAAAGCUAAGCUGAAAGAGUUAAUUGAUCAGUUAAAUGUGAGAUUACCUUUCGUAGAAGCUUGUGCUAUGAUUCCUGCUUUAAGAAAAUACAUGAAGGGUAUUCUAACAAAUUCUUUAACUCUUGAAGAAGGCGUUAUGAUGAUAACCCAUGAAUGUAGUUCUAUCCUGCAAAGCCUUGAAAAGAAAAACGAUCCUGGAAGCUUUGUACUUUCAUGCACCAUCAAUGAUGUAGUUUUUGAGCGUGCUCUCUGUGAUUUAGGAUCUAGCAUAAACAUGAUGCCUCUUUCAGUAGCAAAACGUUUAGGACAUCACACUUUCAAGCCCACUAAAAUUUCUUUAGUACUAGCUGAUCGUUCCGUUAGACAACCUGUAGGUAUCUUAUUUGAUGUGCCCGUAGAAAUAAAAAAAUGUUCCAUACCCACUGAUUUCGUAGUUCUAGAACUAGAAAAAGAACCCAAGGAUCCACUUAUUCUUGGAAGACCAUUCCUAUCUACAGCCGGAGCCAUAAUCAAUGUUCCUGAAGGAAACAUUGACCUUCAUCUAGCCGGCCUAGUUAUGCAGUUUGACAUGAACAAAAGUUUCGAUAAACCAACUUUGGAUGGCAAAGUUUGUUGGGUUGAUGAGUUAGACGGAAUUAUUGAGGAAGUCUAUGAAGAUCUGCUUCUAGACGACCCUUUAAGUAUCACGCUUUCACCCGCAAAAGAUGAACGCAAUUUCCUUGAAGAAACUUCAAGUGAAUGCACACGUAUGCUUGAUAUAUCCAAAACUUAUGGGAAACCUCUGAACUAUCUAGAUCUUAAGGACCAAACAAACAUUCCUACACCUCCUAAAGACACUGCUGCAGCAAUUAAUGAUCCUUAAAGCAAGCUUAAAGCCCCUAAAGUUGAGCUUAAACCUCUUCCCGUCGGACUUAAGUACGCUUUCCUUGGACCAAAUUCUACUUAUCCUGUCAAAAUAAACUCUGGUUUGACGGAAGAAGAAACCACAAUGCUGUUGACUGAGCUGAGAAAGCAUAGAAAAGCCUUAGGAUAUUCACUUGAUGACAUACCUGGAAUCUCUCCAGAUCUUUGUAUGCACAAGAUAAAUCUAGAAGAUAAUGCUAAAAACUCAAUCGAAAGUCAAAGGAGACUGAACCCUAAUCUCAUGGAUGUUGUCCAGAAGGAGACUAUGAAGCUUUUAGAAGCUGGAAUAAUAUUUCCUAUCUCAGAUAGCACUUGGGUUAGCCCAGUUCAUGUUGUUCCAAAGAAAGGAGGAGUCACUGUCAUUAAAAAUGAUAAGGAUGAAAUGAUCGCUACAGGAACAGUAACUGGACAUCGUAUGUGCAUCGAUUACCGGAAACUGAAUGCAGCAACUAGGAAAGAUCAGUUUUCCACUUCCCUUCAUAGAUCAAAUGCUAGAAAGAUUAGCUAAUCACCCCUACUAUUGCUUCCUUGAUGGAUACUCCGGAUUUUUCCAAAUUCCUAUUCGCCCGGAGGAUCAAGAAAAAACGACAUUCACUUGUUCAUAUGGCACGUUUGCUUACCGACGUAUGCCUUUUGGAUUGUGUAAUGCACCUGCUACCUUCCAGCGGUGCAUGAUGUCGAUCUUCACAUACUUUAUUGAAGAUUUCAUGGAAGUAUUCAUGGAUGAUUUCUCGGUCUAUGGAUCUUCUUUUGAAAAAUGCUUAGCCAAUCUUGGUAAAGUUCUGCAAAGAUGUGAAGAUAAGCACUUAGUAUUAAAUUGGGAAAAAUGUCACUUCAUGGUACAAGACGGAAUCGUGCUUGGGAACAAGAUUUCGGGAAAAGGAAUUAAAGUUGACAAAGCUAAAAUCGAAGUCAUGACAAGCCUACAACCUCCCACAAACGUAAAAGGCAUCCAUAGUUUCUUAGGACACGCAGGAUUCUAUAGGCGAUUCAUAAAAAAUUUUAGAGCUAGAUUGGGAUUGACGGAUAACGAUAUAUGGGUUCUAGAGCUAGAGUACGGCGGUAUGACUACGUCACUGUCGUGAUCAUAACCAACUGUUUCUUGUAACCCUGACCAGUAGGUUUCCACUUUGGCCCUGGAAGAGAGAGAACGCAAGAGCUGCACAAGACUCAUCAAUACUCACGAUCUCGCCGCAGGUAGGUUUCCACUCCUACGGAAAAAUUGCCUGUUUCAUUCUAGGCCUGAUACGUAAUGAAAACUUUCGCAACACUAACUAUCUUGAUCAGAUACUAGGUGAUCAAUCAAGCAUACAUGCAAUAAGAACAAGAAUAAACAGAGAACAGGUCGAAAUCCCAGAUCUAUAAACCUUGUCUUAAUCGAUUAUGAGAGCCCCUUUCAGGAACCCUAAGCCCAACUCGGGAUCUACUCAGACAUGGCUGAGGUCGACAUCAUCAUCGGUUUUAAUAAAAGUAAUGAAAAACAGUAAAGAAAAGAGAUAAAGAAAGCUUCUCUAUUGAAGAACUCGGACUUGAACAAUCUUCUACAAAAAUCUCAUAAAAACGGCUAAAGAAAAAGGGUUUCUGUAAAGUAUGAUGGGUUCUCCCUAAAAACGACCUAAAUGACAUGUAUUUAUAGUCUCCAAUACUCCAUGGUCUCUAGGGUUCCGGAAUUGAGGCUGAGAAUGACUUUGGGCUUCAGAUAUAUGGGCUUUAGUUCGGAGCUUGAUGGCCGUGGUCGGGAGUGACGUGACCGCGGGGAUUGAGUGGUUGGCGGCAGUCGUGAAGCUUCUCGCCGCGGGAAAUAGGUUGUUGGCCGCGGUCGCGUGCUUUGCUGGCCGUCUUCGAGUGGCUCCGGGGCUUAUGGAAUAUCUUGAGAUCCAACCGUUGGAAUGUCUCCAAACCAAGUGAAUUUGAAAGCUGGUUGAUUCUUCUAUAAGUUGUCCAAUUUUGAGGGUGAUCAGAUGGCGAGAAGGUCUUCGUCUCUCCAUGAGAGUUCUGACGGUCUGCAUUUAUCCAAAAGAGUCUUUUUGUUCCAUUUUGUGCCUCUUUAUCCCAAAUUACCUGAAAAGUCUUUUAAAAUCCGGAAACAUAGAAGUCAUUUGAAAACCUUUGAAAAUGGAGUAAAAACACCUGUAAAAGAUAUUGAAGUGAUCCAUAAAAAUGGUCAAAAUCCGGUGUUAUCAACUCCCCCAGACUUAGUCUUUUGUUUGUCCUCAAACAAAACAAAGGCUAAAUCUCGGCGAGAGGUUUGAAAACGCAGGAACUAUACAAAAUCUCAGAGACCAAACUUCUAGACCAAUAUCAAUCAGUAUUCAUCAAUCGGGAAUAGCCUAGAAAAUUCUCACUAGCAAUACAGGCAUAAUUAGUCCGUUAAUCCGUCAUGCGAAAAUCUAUGCACUAGGAUCUAACUUCCAGUCAACUAGCUCUUAACAUUUAUUAAAAAUCUCGGUGGUUCUCAUCAAAGAAAGUCUAGGCAAGGCAAUCUAGGCUAGGUGUUAAAAAGGUUAUUCUAGGGGUAAGGCUUAAAGUGUUUAGGGGUUACCUGAAGAUCUGGAGGAUGCAGGAUAUUAUGCAAAACCGCAAGAGAGAGUGAAGCUGUUGGUAUCCACAGUUUUCAGUCACUUUCUUCUUGCCAUAGAUUCCUGGUCUUCUUCCUCAGGUUCUCUCCUAACUCCCCUAGACUUAGAUUUUUGUAAAUCUUUCAAAACCAUAGCUCCUUUCUAACAAAUUCUUUAACUCUUGAAGAAGGCGUUAUGAUGAUAACCCAUGAAUGUAGUUCUAUCCUGCAAAGCCAAAUCCCUGAAAAGAAAAACGAUCCUGGAAGUUUUGUACUUUCAUGCACUAUCAAUGAUGUAGCCUUUGAGCGUGCUCUCUGUGAUUUAGGAUCUAGCAUAAACAUGAUGCCUCUUUCAGUAGAAAAACGUUUAGUACUAGCUGAUCGUUCCGUUAGACAACCUGUAGGUAUCUUAAUUGAUGUUCCCGUAGAAAUCGAAAAAUGUUCCAUACCAACCGAUUUCGUAGUUCUAGAACUAGAAAGAGAACCUAAGGAUCCACUUAUUCUUGGACGACCAUUCCUAUCUACAGCCGGAGCCAUAAUCAAUGUUCCUGAAAGAAAAAUCGACCUUCACCUAGCCAGUCUAGUUAUGCAAUUUGACAUGAACAAAAGUUUCGAUAAACCGACUCUGUAUGGCAAAAUUUGUUGGGUUGAUGAGUUAGACGGAAUUAUUAAGGAAGUCUACGAAGAAAUUCUUCUAGACGACCCUUUAAGUGUCACGCUUUCACCCGCAAAAGAUGAACGCAAUUUUCUUGAAGAAAUUUCGAGUGAAUGCGCGCGUAUGCUUGAUAAGUCUGAAACUUAUAGGAAACCUCUAAACUAUCUAGAUCUUAAGGACCAAAUAAACAUUCCUACUCUUCCUAAAGACACUGCUGCAGCAAUUAAUGAUCCUUAAAGCGAGCUUAAAGCCCCUAAAGUCGAGCUUAAACCUCUUUCCGUCGGACUUAAGUACGCUUUCCUUGGACCAAAUUCUACUUAUCCUCUCAAAAUAAACUCUGGUUUGACGGAAGAAGAAACCAAAAUGCUGUUGACUGAGCUAAGAAAGCAUAGAAAAGCCUUAGGAUAUUCACUUGAUGACAUACUUGGAAUCUUCCAGAUCUUUGUAUGCACAAGAUAAAUCUAGAGGAUAAUGCUUAAAACUCAAUCGAAAAUCAAAGGAGACUGAACCCUAAUCUCAUGGAUGUUGUCAAGAAGGAGAUUAUGAAGCUUUUAGUAGCUGGAAUAAUCUUUCCUAUCUCAGAUAGCACUUGGGUUAGCCCAGUUCAUGUUGUUCCGAAGAAAGGAGUAGUCACUGUCAUUAAAAAUGAUAAAGAUGAAAUGAUCGCUACAAGAACAGUAACCGGACAUCGUAUGUGCAUCGAUUACCAGAAACUGAAUGCAGCAACUAGGAAAGAUCAGUUUUCCACUUCCCUUCAUAGAUCAAAUGCUAGAAAGAUUAGCUAUCACCCCUACUAUUGCUUCCUUGAUGGAUACUCCGGAUUUUACCAAAUUUCUAUUCGCCAGGAGGAUCAAGAAAAAACGACAUUCACUUGUCCAUAUGGCACGUUUGCUUACCAAUGUAUGCCUUUUGGAUUGUGUAAUGCACCUGCUACUUUCCAGCGGUUCAUGAUGUCGAUCUUCACAGAUUUUAUUGAGGAUUUCAUGGAAGUAUUCAUGGACGAUUUCUCUGUUUAUGGAUAUUCCUUUGAAAAAUGCUUAGCCAAUCUUGGUAAAGUUCUGCAAAGAUGUGAAGAUAAGCACUUAGUAUUAAAUUGGGAAAAAUGUCACUUCAUGGUACGAGACGGAAUCGUGCUUGGGCACAGAAUUUCUGGAAAAGGAAUUAAAGUUGACAAAGCUAAAAUCGAGGUCAUGACAAGCUUACAACCACCCACAAACGUAAUAGGAAUUCGUAGUUUCUUAGGACACGCAGGAUUCUAUAGGCACUUCAUUAAAGAUUUUUCUCAAAUAGCUAGACCUCUUACGCAUUUGCUUUGCAAGGAAACGAACUUCGAGUUCGAUGAUGAGUGCUUAGCCGCGUUUCAUAAGAUCAAAGAAGCUCUUGUCUCCGCUCCAGUCGUGCAAGCACCUGAUUGGGAACUCCCAUUCGAAAUCAUGUGCGAUGCAAGUGACUAUGCAGUCGUAGCAGUGCUUGGCCAACGAAAAGAUAAGAAACUGCAUGUAAUCUACUACGCAAGCAGAACUCUAGAUGAAGCUCAAUGCAAUUAGCUACAACAGAGAAAGAACUUCUAGCUGUCUUAUUUGCAUUUGAGAAAUUUCGUUCUUAUCUCGUAGGAUCUAAGGUCAUAGUUCAUACUGAUCAUGCUGCAAUCAAGUAUUUAAUGUCUAAGAAAGACGCUAAACCUCGGUUGAUAAUAUGGAUCCUCUUACUGCAAGAAUUCGACAUCGAGAUUCGAGAUCGAAAAGGCGCAAAUAAUGGAGUUGCAUACCAUCUUUCACGAAUUCGAGUUGAAGAAAGAUUGCCCUUAAAUGAUAGUUUGCCGGAAGAAACAUCUAUGCAAUAGAUACAACCCCAACCAAUGCCAAUGCCGCACCACCACGUCAACUCAUGCGACGAGCAGAUGCUUUCAACACCCCAUGGUUUAGGCACAUAGCGAAUUACCUAGCAGCUGAUGUAGAACCACCACAAUUCUUUGGUUAUAGGAAGAAAAAGUUCCUGAAAGACAUAAGACAUUAUUUUUGGGAUGAACCCUAUCUCUAUAAGAGAUGUGCUGAUGGGUAUUCCGAAGAUGCGUGGCUGAAGAAGAGAUGGAAAGAAUUUUAUUCGGAUGCCAUAGCUCGUCUUACGCAGGACAUUUUGCAACCUUCAAAACCGCUUCAAAGAUCUUACAAGCAGGUUUUUGGUGGCCUACUUUGUUCAAAGAUACUCAAGCUUAUAUAUCGCGAUGCAAUAAAUGCCAAAGGAUGGGCAACAUAAGCAAAAGGAAUGAGAUGCCUCAAAAUUUUAUUCUCGAAGUCGAAAUUUUCAAUGUCUGGGGAAUAGAUUUUAUGGGACCCUUUCCUACUUCUUUUGGAAACCAAUACAUCUUAGUAGCAGUAGACUACGUCUUUAAGUGGGUUGAAGCAGUCGCUAGUCCCACCAAUGAUGCAAAAGUCGUCAUGAAGCUGUUUAAAUCUGUUAUAUUCCCGCGUUUUGGAGUUCCUAGAAUUGUGAUAAGCGACGGAGGAUCGCAUUUCAUCAACAGAAUUUUCGAGAAUCUUCUUAGAAAGAAUGGAGUUACACAUAAAGUUGCUUCUCCAUACCAUCCCCAAACCAGCGGUCAAGUAGAAAUCUCAAACAGAGAAAUCAAGUCGAUUUUGCAGAAAACAACUGCAGUUCAUCGCAAGGAUUGGUCUACCAAGCUUGACGACGCAUUAUGGGCAUAUCGAACAACAUUCAAGACACCAUUAGGAACAACACCAUUCAAUCUAGUUUAUGGAAAAGCAUGUCACCUUCCAGUAGAACUCGAGUAUAAGGCGCAAUGGGCUAUCAAGAAGAUGAACAUGAAUCUGAAAACAGCUGGAGAAAGAAGACUACUUCAACUUCACGAGUUAGAAGAAAUUCGACACAAUGCCUACGAAAACUUGAAGAUCUACAAGGAGAAGACUAAAGCAUAUCAUGAUGAUAAGAUUAUUCAUAGAACUUUUGCUCCUAACGAUAAAGUUCUUCUUUUCAAUUCCCGUCUUAAGCUUUUUCCAGGAAAAUUACGUUCAAGAUGGUCAAGACCCUUCACGAUAAAGGAAGUCAAGCCAUACAGAGCCAUUGUCCUGUGGGACAGAACCGGAAACUCGUUUACAGUGAAUGGACAGCGUGUAAAGCCAUACCUGGCUGAAGAAAGAGAAGACGAAAGAGAAGUGAUGUUUUUGAUUGAUCCAUCAUCGGCCAAUGAUGAGAUCAAGGAGUGUCACGACCCCGGUUAAGUCUAAUCAAGCAACAAUGUCAAGCUAACGACUUGAAACAAGCGCUUAGUGGGAGGCAACCCACUUGGUAUUUUAUAUAUUUCCCUUUGACCUUUACUUUCUAUUUCCAUUGCUUUGUUUCUGUUUCAUUAAAUUUCAGGUUUUCAAUAAGGAAGAACAAACACAAAAGACGAGCAGCACUCUCUAGCACGAUAAGUUCACUUAAACAUUUCAACUUUUUUAUUUUCUUUACCAUCCUUUUCAAGAUUUAUCGCACUGAGGACAGUGUGAAAUAAGUCUGGGGGAGGAUGUUCAUCCGUUACUAAUGAAAUUUGAUUUGUUAUGAGUUUGUUUUGGACACAUUAAAAAAUUUUCAAAACGUUUUUCAAAAUGUUUUUCACAAAAAAAUUUUCACAAAUCGUUUUCAAAAUGUUUUUCAAAAAGUUUUCAAACCAGGAACACAUUAAACAUUACUAUGAUGAUUUAGACCAGUGUGCUUCUACGCUAUUUCCUCGUUUUUUGCUCUUUUUGUGAUUUAGGCCUAGACUAGGCGGUAGCUAAGUACUUGCAUUACGAAAUCCCACCAGGGAACUUCUAUUCAUAGAGAUUCUUUCUGACAGGAUAUACUAGCUCAUUUUAUCUGGACUUAAUUUUGACAUAAUUUUCUCAUUAAAGCAUUAGAUCAGGAAAACGAAUCAUACAUUCAGGACUCCUUUAUCCUUUUACCACUCUUUGUUGAUCCUGAAUGGCUAGUUUAUCUUUAGCUAGUUCCCCACCGAACCUUACCUCUUUCAAACCACAUGCACUCAUACGUCGGAGAGAAAGAGGAUUUACGCGGUUUUCAGUCACUGAAGACGAAGACCUGCGAUUUCAUUGGAAUGAUUCAACAAAAUGAGAAAACUCAGUUUGUCUUGGAAAACUUCAAAAUCUUGGUACAAUUUCGUCCCUUAGACUCUCUCUCUAUAAAAGGUUGUUUCCUCUAAAAUAAAAAAUAAAAAUAAAAAAUCCGAAAAAGAAAAGAAAAAAAAAUGAAUGAAAGGGAGAGGAAAUUUAAAACCUUAGAAAGUCUAGGAGGAUCGAAUUUUAUCCUUGAGGCAAGCUUGAUUCGAUUUAUGGAGUUUUGGAGAUUAUCUUUAUGAUUCCCGAAAAAGAUCUAAGUCUGGGGGAACAACUGUUUACAACAAAGGAGGAAGAUUAUGCAACAACGUUUGGCAAAGGAGAAGUGACUGAAAAUCUGCGGUCAUCAACAGGUCUUUCUCUCUCUUGCGGUUUUGCAUAAUAUUUUGCAUCCUCCAGAUUCUUCAGGUAACCCUAAACAGCAAAGCUCCACCACUUAAAAAGCUCUUAAUACUAAACGCGUCUACCCUGAAUGAUGACUUUAAUGAGAAUUCACUACUAUACUUAAUUAAUGUAGAGAGCUAGUUGACUGGAAGUUAGAUCUAAGUGCGUAGUUUUCGCAUGACGGAUUAACGGACUAGUUUUGUUUGUAUUUUGGUGAGAAUUUUCUAGACUAGAUCCAAAUAGAUGUUUCACGAUAAGUUAUGGUUUAGAAGGACGGUCACUGAGAUAUUGUUUAGUUCCUGCGAUUUUCAAAAUUUCUUUCUAGACUUAAGUUUGUUUGAGGACAAACAAAAAGGUAAGUCUGGGGGAGUUGAUAACACCGUGUUUUGACCACUUUUAUGGAUUAUAAUUGUAUCUUAUGCAGGUGUUUUAAUUAUUUUUUCAAUGGUUUUUAAAGUGUUUUCAAUGUUUUAGAUUUUUAAAAGACUUUACAGGAAACUUGGGCAAAAGAUAUUCAAUUUGGAACAAAUGAGCAAUUUUGGAUAAAUGCAGACCGUCAGAAGUAUGACAAGCGAUGAAGACCUUCUCACCGUCUGAUCACCUCCAAAAUUUGAGACAACAUAGAGGAUCCAACCAGCUUUCUAAUGCUUGGAGACAAUCCAACUGUUAGAUCUUCAGAUACUCCCGAUGCAAGAAUGACUGAAAAUGCAGUUCCGGAAGAAAGCCAUGUGCCGGGACCGCGGCCAACACCUAUUUUCCCGCGGGUAGAGCCACUGCAACCGCGGAACUUGGUCGUUCACUUUCCAGACGACUUAAUUAAAGCCCAGAUCAAUUCCUUUAGGCUAUAAAUACCCUCUUUAGGUCAUUCUAAAGAGAGGAAUGGAAGGAGAGACAAACUUAGAGAGAGAGAUAUAGAGAUUUUCGUGUGAGAAACCCUAGGAGGCCGCCGCCUUUGAAGGAGGAGCCGUCGAGGAGAGCAUCAUCGCGCCUCCAUCUGCGAUUCCGUUCUUCGUUCUUCUUCCUUGUUCUCUUUAAUUUCCUGCACUUUCAAUGCUUUGUUACAAUAUGUUUGAGUAGUUACCCAGUUGGGUUUAAAGGGAUUUUUCAAAGGGAAUUUAUGAAUCGAUAGAUUUAGGAUUAUUAAUCUUCUAGAUGUUCUUCGUUUGCCUUUAAUCUUACUGUGUGAUUCUUUGCUGGCCACUUAGAAGUCGAUCUGACAUGAUAUGUUGCGAAAGCUUUCAUUGAUUGUCUGAUCUAGGGUGAAACGAGGAAUGAUUCUAUAAGAGUGUAAACCUACCUGUAGUUGAGUUGUGAAUAUUGAUGAGUCUUGUUCUGCUAUUGCAUCUUCUCCCUUCCAGGAUCAGAGUGGAAACCUACUGAUCAGGGUUGCGAGAGAUAGUUGUUUAGUGCUGCGAAAGUAGGCUAUUCGUACUUCUGUGCCUCGAGUUGUAGAAUAUACGUAGUUGAUUACCUGUAUCACUUGUUUAAAAUCGACCUAGCAUAGACUAUGAACCCCUGCGAAUUCCCCUUGAUGCCCAACGUUUGUUUCCAUUGUUUACAGUCUUGCUCUUUACUUGCUUUCAUUCGCUUUUGUUUAAUCGAUUUUACCUGCUUUUAUUUGCUUUCGUUUUCAAUUGCUCUUUAGUUUUUACUUGGUUUCUAGUUUAGAUUUAUUGACAACCAAAACCCAAAACCAAAACCAAAACCCUUUUUAGUUCUAGUCUGAUUUAAGCAUUGCCUUGUGAUAGAAUCAUGGAACCGAUGGAAACAAAGGACGAGACACAAGUCGAGGUUCAUGCCGAGGAACAAAACCAAGCUACCGACCCUGAUGAUGUCCUGGUUGUGCCAGCCGGUCCAAUGACCAGGUCACGUACCAAAAUCCUUACGGGAGCGAUCCAGCGUGUGCUUACCGGUCUUAGGAGCCAAUGCCAAGUAACAGACCCAACACCAAAUCACAAGGCCAUGACCAUGAUCAUGUACUCAGGUCCGAACUAGCCUGGUUGGGGUGCUGUUUUAAUACUCUUUUUCCUUGCAUUUGGGUUUGUCCCACUGGGUUUACCGAAUGGGGUUUUAACGAGGUUAAAGCAUCACCCAUCUCACGACCAUGGUUCGUUCGCGGCUGAAGGAGAGUUACUAGUGGCACAGCGAAUGUUGGUUUCACAAGAACCAGUCCGAGAAGAGGAUCAGAGGGAGAAUCUUUUUCACACACGGUGCUUAGUUAUGGGAAAGACCUGCAGCAUGGUCAUCGAUGGAGGGAGUUGCACAAACGUUGCUAGCCAGAGUAUGGGUGAGAAGCUAGGAAUGCAAACCACAAAACAUCCGCAUCCGUACAACCUCCGAUGGCUCAACAAUCACAGGCAGCUCAAGGUCACCAAGCAGGUCACAGUGCCCUUUAAAAUCGGACGAUAUGGAGAUGAAGUGCUAUGUGACGUCCUACCUAUGGAAGCCGGACACAUCUUGUUGGGACGGCCGUGGCAGUACAACCGUAAGGCGGUCCAUGAUGGUUUUUCUAACAAACAUUCGUUUGAACACCAAGGACGGAAGGUCAUCUUGGCACCUUUGUCUCCCCGCGAGGUUUACAUGGAUCAGAUCCAUUUGGAAAGGAGCAAUAAAGAUAAAACCACCUUGAGUGACCCCCUAAACACAUCCAACACCAAAAAUGUGAGUGAGAUUUCGAGUGAACCACCUCAAAAGGCCUUAAUCAACCAACCCGUGAGGAGAGAGACUCUUUUUGUGAGGCCGAGAGAGAUUAAACAGGCCAUGCUUGAGAAGCAGCCUUUUAUUUUGCUCAUGUUCAAAUCCGCUUUGGCUAGCACUUCUAAUCCAGAGCCGGAACUUCCGAGCAAUAUUUCUUGGGUUUUUCAGGAGUAUGCCGAUGUCUUUCCCGAAGACAAUCCAGGAGGGCUACCACCGAUCAGAGGCAUAGAACACCAGAUAGAUCUCGUGCCUGGAGCAUCUCUACCAAACCGACCAGCGUACCGUACUAACCCGACAGAAACCAAGAAGCUACAGCGCCAGGUCAAAGAGUUGAUGGCCAAGGGCUACAUCCGAGAAAGCCUGAGUCCCUGCGCUGUACCUGUACUUCUGGUGCCCAAGAAAGAUGGGACUUGGCGAAUGUGUGUGGACUGCCGAGCCAUAAACAACAUCACGGUAAAGUAUCGCCAUCUCAUCCCGCGCUUAGAUGAUAUGCUAGAUGAACUCUAUGGGUCUAGUGUCUUUACGAAAAUCGAUUUGAAAAGUGGUUACCAUCAGAUCCGAAUGAAGGAGGGAGAUGAGUGGAAGACCGCAUUCAAAACCAAACAUGGUUUAUAUGAAUGGCUGGUCAUGCCGUUCGGUCUAACGAAUGCACCUAGUACUUUUAUGCGGCUAAUGAACCAUGUGCUUAGGUCCUUCAUAGGCGUCUUUGUAGUUGUAUACUUCGACGACAUCCUGAUCUGUAGUAAGAGUCUAGAGGAACAUGUGAACCAUCUAAAACAAGUGUUAGAAGUACUUAGGAAGGAACGUUUGUUCGGGAAUUUUAAAAAGUGCUCUUUUGGUACGGAUAACGUGGUGUUCGUAGGUUUUGUUGUCAGUUCACAGGGUAUACAGGUGGACGAAGAGAGAAUUAAGGCUAUCCGAGACUGGCCAGGCCCCAAGACGGUUGGAUAAGUUCGAAGCUUCCACGGCUUAGCCGGAUUCUAUCACCGAUUUGUCCGAGACUUCAGCACCAUUGCAGCUCCUCUCACAGAAGUCAUCAAGAAAGACGUUGGGUUCAAAUGGGAACAAGCUCAAGAAGAAGUGUUCAAGACACUUAAGCACCGACUUACCCAUGCACCUCUAUUGUCUUUGCCCGACUUUCUCAAGACCUUUGAGAUAGAGUGUGACGCAUCCGGUGUAGGGAUUGGAGCAGUGCUCAUGCAGGAAAAACGUCCAAUCGCUUACUGUAGCGAAAAACUUGGUGGUGCUACGCUCAAUUAUCCGACUUACGACAAGGAGCUCACUGGUUCGGGCCCUACAGACGUGGCAACAUUACUUGUGGCCUAAAGAAUUCGUGAUACACACUGACCACCAAUCAUUGAAGCAUCUCCAAGGGCAGCAAAAAUUGAACAAGCGACAUGCCAGAUGGGUCGAGUUUAUCGAGACGUUUCCUUAUGUGAUCCAGUACAAGCAAGGGAAAGAAAAUGUUGUGGCGGACGCAUUGUCUCAACGAUAUACCCUGAUCACUACGCUUGAUGCCAAAAUACUUGGGUUUGAAAUGAUUAAGGAGGCCUACGCGACCGAUCCUGACUUCCAAGAAGCUUUUCUCGCCAGUUCUAAGUUUGCCCAUGGCAAAUACUACCAGAGUGACGGUUACUUGUUUCAUGAAAAUAAACUAUGUAUACCUAACACUUCUUUGUGGGAUUUGAUUGUCAGGGAGGCACAUGGAGGAGGCUUAAUGGGACAUUUUGGGGUCUGAUAUGUUCAUAAUUUGCAUCAUUUAGGUUGCAUAAAUCAUUCCAAAUCAUGUUUUAUUUCAUGUAUUUUAGGUCCUUAGGGUUUGUUUUAGAACUUAGGAGAUGCAUUAGGUCCCAAUGAGUCUUUGCAUGUUUUGAGUGUCUAUCAGGUGAUUAUGGAGCUGAAAAGAUGAAUCCAGGAGGUGGAAUGGUGAGCAGAGCUUGAAAAAAGUGGAAAACUUGAGUCUAUGGAGGUUAUCGGCCAUUCUCGCUGGCCAGGAAGGUUUUACCGGCCAUUUUCAUGUACCGCGGGAAGCUUUACCGGCCAUUUUCACGUACCGCGAAUUAAGUAUAUCGGCCAAAAUCUCCGGGUGCGAACGAGUCUCAGAAAUCACCUGUCCGGGGAGCCUUCCGGUCCGAUUCAGAUGGCGGGUCCUUCAUAGAAGUUGGAGAGCAUUGAAGCACGGUCUCAUAGCAAUUGGAAUCGUAGAAUUCGGACGCGUGAGCAGAGAGAUAAGCUCGUCGGAAGAAACCCCUGUCUCGCAGGUAUUCCGGACCGAGCAGAUCAGUUCUGAAGGAUGCGAAGGACGGUGCACUUCCAGGCCGAUUCAGCUUCCGGGUCCUUCAUGAGAAUCAGAGACAUUUGAGUCUUCUUUCCAGAACGUCCAAGAGCAUUCAAUUCGGAUCUAUGAGCAGGAAGAUACGGCCUCCGGAAUGGACACAUGUCUAGACGCCUCUCUCUGGUCGUAUACAUGCACUGCAAAGAUGUGCCCUCCAGGAAGCCUUCCGCCUCCCAAGCACUGAAACUUCCUUCACAAAAGUUGGAGAUAAAUGAGUCCUCUGUCUUCUGCAACCGAAAUCAUUCAAUUCGGACAAGUAUCACAGGAGUUACACUCUCCGGAAUGCGAAGUGAUCUAAGCUGCUCUGGAUGCUGCGAGAUGGUCUUGCGACUUGGUUAACCCGCAGGCCUGAAGAUGAACGCCUGAAUGCUGAUGCUGCGAGUUGAAAUGUGCGGGUAAACUAUCACUGGAAGAGGUCUGGAGCUCCCGAGCAAGAGAAAUGCUAAGUCCACAAUCGUGCGACUUAGGCAUGCGAGUCAUCCGUGCCUGGAUCUAUGCCGCACGAUCACUCGGAAUUCACUCCGACUUGAGCCUGCGACCUAAGUGCAAUAGAGACCAACCCGCACAGUUUCUACAUCCCCCAGAAACCGGCUCAGCCCUGCGAGUUGGAGAGGAAGGAGACCAUGCCGCAGAAACACUCGCAAUUUACUCCUAGAUAGGCGUGCGGCUCCGACAAGGCGAUUCAAGCCUCACAAGACAAGUCUUCAUCUACUGCGACUUAGGUGUGCGGCCUGGGACAUACUGAACCGACCCGCAGCUUUUCCCAUUUUAUCCAUUAAAGCCGGGUCAGGACCCGGUUUGUUCCGGGCUGACCCGGUUCGUUUUUAAGAAGGUAUAAAUACUUUUUAGGGUUUUUUGGGGGAGAACUAAGUUUUAUUCCCUUUGUCUCUUGCCUCUUUUGUGAAAAAGACUCCAUUAAGAAGAGAAAUAUCUAUUUUUGAGUGUUGAAUCAAGAGAGUUUUAAGAGAUCUGGGUGUUUAAAGCUGUUUACUUUUGAAUCUAUCAUCUCUAUCUCCAUUUCUCAUCAUUAAUCAUGCUAAUCUUCUCAACUUGCAAAGGUUUAAGAGAGAUUAGUAUGAUUAGUGAGUAAUCCCAUAUUAAGGUCUUAGAUAUGUAGAUUAGGGUGCUUAAGUGGUAGAUUAGCGAGCUUAGGGGUUAGAUCAUGCAUAUUCCAUUCUCUACAACUUGUUCUCUAUGCUAGAUCCAUACAAAUCAUAUGUGGUCUAGAUUCUGGGCAUUUCAUGCACCAAAAGUGUUUGAUGAAAUGCCUGAACCAAAGUUGUUAGAGGUUUAAGUGUUAUUCAUCAUGGGAAUGAUUGUUUAUAUGCUUAAAUGACAGAUUAAACUGAUUCUUAAUGCUUGUUAACUCAUGUUUCACUGAUGAUGAUUGGGUUUGAAACUGAUUUAGCAUAGGAGUUAAUGCCUUCAUGAGAGGAUUAACUUAGUUAGAGAUGUUUAUGUUAAAUGGCUUGCUUGAUCAUAUGAUACAUUAGCUCAUUAGUUUAUCACUGAAGGCACCCUAAUCCACUAUCAUGUCUAAGACCUUUCUUAUCAUCAUUCAUACAUUCUCAUCAUUUGUCAUUGUUUAGUUCUUGUUUAAGCAUUUCAUUAAUCCUUAAUCCUGUUUAAGUUUGUAGUUGUCUCUAGAUUAAUCAAAACCCACUCUUGUUUGCUUGAAUUAAGAACUUGAUCAUAUAGCUUAGUGUCUAACACCACAUCUGGAUUGAUAAACCUCUUUGUGCUACAUUGACAAGGGGAUUGAUAGCCCUGAGACCAUAAAAAGUCUUAUCUAUCAAUUGGCGCCGUUGCCAAAUUGUGGUUUGAUUAGCAUUAAGCUCUGAUCUGUUCUUGAGAUCAAGUGCUUACUUUCUUGUUUUUACUGAUUCCUUUCAAGUUCUGUUUGUGAUUUCAGGUAUAUGAACACCAGGUCUAGAUCAAGAAGCUGCGGUCCUCCUUUUCCUCUAAACGACAACAUCAACCUUCUGGUACCAAGGAGGAGAAGAGACAGACGUGGUAGACAACUUGAUCAGACUGAGAUGGCAGACCAAGGAGAUCACGGGGUAGAUAUGGAACAACCAGUUCAGGAGCAACAAGCUCAAGGUCAGGGAGCUGGUAUUGGAGUUGGUCAGGGGUUUCACCAGGGCAAUGUUCAGCAGGAACAGGUGCACCACCAACAAGCCUAUGUCCACCAGGGACAAGCUCAGGCUCAUCAACAGAGGCAUCAGGCCAAUGUUCAACAAAGACACCAGGUGCACCACCAACCCCACCCUUUCCAACCACAACAAAGAAGAUAUGAGCAACCCCAAAUAUAUGUUGGCGAGAAUGACAGGGCCAAUGCUCAUCAGUAUGGAGCUGGUAUUCAGGCACCACCUGUGCAGAACAACAACUUUGAAGUGAAAGCAUCAUUGCUGAAUAUGGUCCAGAACUCAAAGUUCCAUGGGUUAGCAAUGGAAGAUCCCUUGGAACACUUGGACCAGUUUGAUAAGGUGUGUGAUCUGACCAAGAUUAAUGGAGUUUCAGAAGACAGCUUUAAGCUAAGACUAUUCCCAUUCAGUCUUGGUGACAAAGCUCAUCAAUGGGAGAAGAAUCUUCCAAGAGGCUCCAUUCAAACCUGGGAGCAAUGCAAGCAAGCCUUCUUAUCUAAGUUCUUCUCCACCUCAAGAACUGCAAAACUGAGAAACCAAAUCUCUAGCUUCACUCAGCACAGCAAUGAAAGUUUUGGUGAAGCAUAUGAGAGAUUCAGGAGCUACACAAACCAAUGCCCACACCAUGGGUUUAGUGAGGCUUCUCUUCUCAGCACACUGUAUAGGGGAGCUCUUCCCAAGAUUAGAAACCAGCUGGAUACUGCUUCCAAUGGGAACUUUCUGGGUAAAGAGAUUCAUGCUGCUUUAGAGCUAGUGGAGAACUUAGCAUUGAGCAAUGAUACUUAUGGUGAAGACUAUGACAGAUCAAAUAGGUCUGAAAGUUCAAGCUCAGAACAGAGGCUCACCAGAGAAGUUAAGGAGUUGAGGAGUGAAUUGGACAAGCUGAAAUUCACCACUCAGAAGCCAAUGCAUUUUGUUGGAGAGUAUGAGGAACCUUCUCAAAUUUUUGAGAACAUAAGUGAAGAAGGUCUUACCCAAGAGGAGCUCAACUACAUUGGGAAUCAGAGGUUCCAAAGAUAUCAGUAUGGUAAUGCCAAUCCAAACCUCUCUUACAGGAACACCAAUGUAGCUAACCCACAAGACCAGGUCUAUCCCAAUUCUCAAGCUCCAAAGAACUUUGUUCCCAAGCACAACUUUCAAGGGUCAUUCCAACCCAAGAAUCAAUUUGGUCAGAAUCAGAGUUUUGGUCAGCAACAGCAACCAUUUCAGGGCACUGGUUACACUUCACAGCAGCCAAAGGCACCACCAGGGUUUGGUCCACCACAGUUCCAACAGCAGGCGCCGGUUCAACAACAGUUUCAGCCACCAAUGGUUCAACAGCAGCCACAGAUGGGUACAGAUAUGGUUGGUAUUCUGCAACAACUACUUCAGGGUCAACAGACUAUGCAGCAGGAAAUCAAGGAACUGAAGCAAAACCAAGCAUCAAGCUCAAGGAACCAAGGUCACCUACCUGGAAAACCAGAACCCAACCCCAAGGAAUAUGCCAAGGCCAUAACACUGAGGAGUGGCAAGGAGUUACCUGGUAUUGAGAACAACAAUGUGAUCAUUGAGGACAAUGAUCAACCUGAGGGGGAGGCAGCCUUAAAGGAUGAUCAAGUUGCUGAGAAACCAAGGUCAGAAAAGGGUAAAGAGGUAGCAAAGGAACCAGAACCAGAGAAGAAGUAUGUGCCACCACCUCCAUACCAACCCAAGCUCCCAUUUCCAGGGAGAUUUAAGAAGCAACUAGUGGACAAGGCAAGAGCUGUAUUUGAGAAGGCACUCAAAGAGACACCACUCACAAUGCCUCUCAUUGAUGCAUUCUUAAUGAUGCCAAAGAUGGGGAAGUUUUUGAAGGAUGCUAUUCUGAACAAGACAAAAGAGCUUCAAGGCAUGGUAGUACUAAGUCAUGAAUGCAGUGCUAUCAUUCAGAGGAAGUCCAUUCCAAGGAAGUUAACUGAUCCAGGGAGCUUCACACUCCCCUGUGCCAUUGGACCUCUUCUAUUCUCUGGAUGUCUUUGUGAUUUAGGAGCAUCAGUCAGCUUGAUGCCAUUCUCCAUAGCACAGAAGCUGGGCUUUAGAGUUUUCAAACCUUCAAAGAUUUCUCUUAUCCUUGCAGAUAGAUCAGUUAGAUUGCCUGUUGGUAUGUUGGAAGAUCUACCUGUCAAGAUAGGUGGUUUUGAGGUUCCAACAGAUUUUGUUGUGCUGGAGAUGGAUGAAGAGCCAGUAGAUCCUCUUAUCUUGGGCAGACCAUUCUUAGCCACUGCAGGAGCUAUUAUUGAUGUGAGAGGUGGGAUAAUAGAGCUUCAACUUGGGUCUGAAAAGCUCAAGUUUGAUGUGAAUGAGAUGAUGAAGAAGCCCACCAUUGAAGGUCAAUGUUUCUAUGUAGAGACAAUGGAUCAGUUGGCUGAUGAGUUGCUUGAGGAGCUGAACACUGAGGAUCCUCUUCAAGCUACUCUAACUCAAGAACAAGGAGACAAUGGGCUCUUGGCUGAAGCAAGUGAAGGGUAUAAGCUGUAUCUGGACAAUGCAAGAGAGCUGGGUCCUGAAACAAGGUUUGUGGAGCUGGAACAGAAUGGCACUGAGGUUUUUGCAACCCAAGAAUCAGUCACCAGCCAAAGCAGCUUGGACCAGGACUGGAAUGAGGCUGAUGCACCCUCUGUUGAGCUCAAACCUCUACCAACAGGGCUCAGGUAUGCUUUCUUAGGACUAAACUCCACAUAUCCUGUCAUCAUCAAUGAUAGCCUAUUAGAGGACCAAGAGAGUGCAUUGCUGAAUGAAAUAAGAAAGUUCAGGAGAGCCAUAGGGUAUUCUUUGGCUGAUAUUAGAGGGAUCUCUCCUGACAUCUGCACCCAUAGGAUCCACCUAGAGGACCAAUCUAUGUCCUCUAUUGAGCACCAACGUAGACUUAACCCCAACCUUAGGGAAGUGGUUAAGAAGGAGAUACUAAAGCUUCUUGAGGCAGGGAUAAUUUACCCAAUCUCUGACUCAAGAUGGGUAUCUCCUGUUCAUGUUGUGCCCAAGAAAGGUGGGAUCACAGUGGUGAAAAACGAUAAGGAUGAACUCAUAGCUCAAAGAACCAUAACUGGCCACCGCAUGUGCAUUGACUAUAGGAAAUUGAAUUCUGCUUCUAGAAAAGAUCAUUUUCCUUUACCAUUCAUUGAUCAAAUGCUUGAAAGGUUAGCUAAUCAUCCUUAUUUUUGUUUUCUCGAUGGGUACUCUGGAUUUUUCCAAAUUCCCAUAGAUCCAAGAGAUCAAGAGAAAACAACAUUCACAUGCCCUUAUGGCACUUAUGCUUAUAGGAGAAUGCCUUUCGGUUUAUGUAAUGCACCGGCUACUUUUCAAAGGUGUAUGAUGCACAUUUUCUCUGACAUUAUUGAAGAGAAAGUUGAGGUGUUCAUGGAUGACUUUAGUGUCUAUGGCUCCUCCUUCUCGGAUUGUCUCUCUAAUUUGACACAGGUGUUGGAGAGAUGUGAGCAACACAGCUUGGUGCUGAACUGGGAGAAGUGUCAUUUCAUGGUGCAAGAAGGGAUAGUUCUUGGGCACAAGAUCUCUGAAAAGGGCAUUGAGGUUGAUAAGGCAAAGGUGGAGGUUAUGGUGAAUCUGCAAACCCCCACUUCAGUUAAAGGGAUAAGGAGCUUCCUGGGUCAUGCAGGGUUUUAUAGAAGAUUCAUAAAGGACUUCUCAAGGAUUGCCAGGCCCUUAACAAGACUGUUGUGCAAGGAGGUGGAUUUCAUCUUUGAUGCUGAAUGUGAAGAAGUCUUUAAGUUGAUCAAGGAGGCAUUGGUUAGUGCACCAAUAGUUCAGGCACCAGACUGGUCCCUACCUUUUGAGGUCAUGACAGAUGCUUCUGACUUUGCUGUUGGAGCAGUACUUGGACAAAAGAAAGACAAGAAGUUGCAUGUGAUCUACUAUGCCAGUAGAACACUUGACUCUGCCCAAGAGAAGUAUGCUACAACUGAAAAGGAAAUGCUGGCAAUAGUUUUUGCCUUUGAUAAGUUCAGAAGCUACCUGGUGGGAUCAAAGGUCAUUGUGUAUACUGAUCAUGCAGCCCUCAGGUACUUGAUGACCAAGAAAGAUGCCAAACCAAGGCUGUUGAGAUGGGUUCUAUUGCUCCAAGAGUUUGAUAUGGAGGUGCUUGAUAAAAAGGGGAUUGAGAAUGGUGCUGCAGACCAUCUCUCAAGGCUGAGGAUUGAAGAAAAAGUCCCCAUAGAUGAUGCUUUGCCUGAAGAGUCUCUGAUGGUGCUCCAUUCAUACUUGGAGUUUGAGGAAGUAGAGAGCAUUCAAGAAAGGAGGAUGCCUUGGUUUGCAGAUAUAGUGAACUAUCUUGCAUGUGGGGUGGAGCCCCCUGAAUUGGAUGCUUACAAGAGAAAAAAAUUCUUCAGAGAUGUCCAGAGAUACUAUUGGGAUGAGCCCUACCUCUAUGUUCUGAACAAGGAUCAGUUAUACAGAAGAUGUCUUGCUGAAGAGGAGAUGCAACCUGUGUUGCAGGAAUGUCAUGGUUCUGCUUUUGGAGGUCACAUGGGGGCAUUCAAAACUGUAGCAAAGGUUCUUCAAAGUGGGUUCUGGUGGCCUACAAUGUUCAAAGAUGCCCAAUUGGUGGUUUCAGCUUGUGAUGCCUGUCAGAGGCAUGGAAAUAUAUCUAAAAAAAGUGAGAUGCCUCAGAACCCCAUUCUAGAAGUGGAGAUCUUUGAUUGUUGGGGGAUUGACUUUAUGGGACCUUUUAUUUCAUCCUUUGGAAAUCAAUACAUACUUGUUGCUGUGGACUAUGUGUCCAAAUGGGUUGAGGCCAUUGCUUCCCCUACCAAUGACUCCAAGGUUGUAGUCAAGCUGUUUAAGAGCAUCAUAUUUCCAAGGUUUGGAGUUCCAAGGGUUGUCAUUUCUGAUGGAGGAUCCCACUUUUUGAACAAGACUCUGGAAGGUUUAUUGAGAAAGCAUGGAGUUAAACACAAGAUAGCUACUCCAUAUCAUCCCCAAACUAGUGGCCAAGUGGAGGUAUCUAAUAGACAAAUCAAGGCCAUUCUGGAAAGGACUGUCAGCUCAACCAGAAAAGAUUGGAGCAAAAGGCUGGAUGAUGCAUUAUGGGCUUACAGGACUGCCUUUAAAACUCCAAUUGGAACAUCACCAUUCAGUCUGCUAUAUGGGAAGAGCUGCCACCUUCCUGUGGAGUUGGAGUACAAAGCUAUGUGGGCUGUGAAGUUUCUAAACUUUGAUAUCAAGACAGCUCAGGAGAAAAGAAUCAUGCAACUCCAUGAGCUUGAGGAGAUUAGGCUUGAGGCUUUUGAAAGCUCAAAGAUCUAUAAGGAGAAGACCAAAGUCCUGCAUGACCAAAAGAUUUUAAAGAGAGAGUUCAAGUGUGGUGAUUUGGUCUUGCUUUUCAACUCCAGACUUAAGUUGUUUCCAGGAAAGCUUAAGUCUAGGUGGUCUGGACCUUUCAAAGUUCUUGAAGUGAGGCCUUAUGGUGCCAUUGUCUUGGAAGGGAAAAAUGGUCAGGAAUUUGUGGUGAAUGGACAGAGAGUCAAGCAUUACUUAGUUUCACAAGGGAAAGAGGAAGCUACAUCAGUUCCUCUUCUUGAUCCACCAGCCUGUUAACCAGGUUCUCAAAGUCAAACUUAGAGACUUUAAACAAAGUGCUCUUGGGAGACACCCCAAGCUUAUCUUUGUACAUAGUUCUUCUGAUUUCUUCUCUUUUCUUUUAUGUUUUAGAACUUUCUGAUGGGUUUUGUGAGUUGGUCUCAGGUACUAAGUGAUCUUUGGAGGACAUAGCUCAGUGAUGAAUGGAAAGAAGCAUGUGAGAGAGCUGAGAGAGGUGUUUAAGGCCAGAAAAACGUUUAAGUCCCAAAAGCUGCGGCCUAGGAGUGCGGGUCAGAAGAGAAGAGCCCAGGCCGCAGCAAGGUUCGGAAUUUACUCCGGCCUGGGCGUGCGACCUGGAAAGAGGAUGGCCAGGCCGCACAGAAAGAAGAAGGCCCGAAACGUUUAAGUCCCAUCUACUGCGGGAUGGUUGCGCGGGUCAGAAGAGAGGGAGCUAGGCCGCACGACUAUUCGGAAUUUACUCCGGCCUGGGCGUGCGACCUAGGAGCGUAGACGCUGAGCCGCACCAAAAAGAAGAAGGCCGAGGGUUCUAAGUGUUAAACCGUGCGACCUGGUGCUGCGGCCUGAAACCCAAGGAGUCUAAGUCGCACGAUCGUUCGGAAUUUACUGCGGGAUGGUUAUGCGGCUCAGAAGAACGAUGGCCAGGCCGCACAGAAAGAAGGGAAACCCAAAAUGCCUAAGUCCCAGAAGCUGCGGGAUAGGAGUGCGGGUCAGAAGAAAGAUGGCCAGGCCGCAGAAAGACUCGGAAUUUACUCCGAGAUGGUUGUGCGGGUCAGAGCAGAGGAUGACCAGGCCGCAGCAUGAAGAGAACGGCCAGAAUGCCUAAGUAACAAAAGCUGCGGGAUGGUUGCGCGGGUCAGAGCAGAGGAUGACCAGGCCGCAGCAUGAAGAGAACGGCCAGAAUGCCUAAGUAAAAAAAGCUGCGGGAUGGUUGCGCGGGUCAGAGCAGAGGAUGACCAGGCCGCAGCAUGAAGAGAACGGCCAGAAUGCCUAAGUAACAAAAGCUGCGGGAUGGUUGUGCGGGUCAGAGCAGGGGAUGACCAGGCCGCACGAAAUUUUUUCCGGUUCUACACCGAGACGGUCACACAGCUCGAUCCCGACAGUUCCCGGACGCACAAAAGAGAGAAAGGAGGCCGGUCAAUGAGAAAAGGAUGGGUCAAAGCCUUGACUGGUCAAAAUAGAUCUAUUGACCACCAGUCCAGAGGCUUGACCCUACCCCACACUCUCUCUUCCUCACUACAAACCCGAGUUUGCAACUAUCUCUCACUUUUCUCUCCAUUGUUUUCACCAUAUCUCUCUCAUUUCUCCACCAAAAUUGUUGAUUCAAAGUGCUCUGAGCUCGUUUUUGAGUUGUUAACAUCAUCCUGAUUGCAUUUCGAACUUGUUGCAUCUUAAUCCCAAGGUAUUUCGCCCUGUUGAAACUCAUCUCUUUCCAUGUUCUUCAAUGGUGAUUUUUUGAACUUUAAAGUGUGGAAUCGAUUUUGAUAGGUUGUUUUAGACCUUGGGAUUAUUUUUAUAAAUGCUAGGGUGCUAGAUAGUCUUGGAAAACAGAGCACUUUGUUUGUAAUUACCUGUUCUUGAAUUUUGAAAAUUGUUGCAACAAUUUUUUUCAAAAUUUUGAGACUUUUGUGAGGUUCAUCCUUGUACUAACAAUAUUUUUGAGAAUCUCUUGGCAGAUGACUGAAAGAACCAACUCUUUGGCCAAGAAGAAGGGCCCUGCAUCAAAAGGCAAAGGUUUGGUCUCAGGAACUUCAAAGCCAAGAAACAAAGGUCAAGGUGCAAAGAAUACUACAAAGCAAGGAAAGUGUGAUCCAGCGCCAAAAAGGACAAGGCCUGAAGGAAGAGCUUUGGUGGUUGCUUCUGGUUCCAAGAAAAAGGGGAAACAGUUGGCUGUGGUAUCUGAGAGUGAACAGACUGAAAGUGACUCCGGCAGCUCAGCUGGUGGUUCCCAAGGCACCAAUGAAGAGGGAUCAAAAAAGUUCAAGAAAACUGAACCAGAAACACCUGAUUAUCUGGCUAAGUUUCAGCAGAUAGAGAUCCAGCAAGGGAGAUUCCCUGAUUUGGACUUUCUGAAGAAGAUUGGCCUCUAUGAAGAUGUCAAGACUUUGCUUGGGAACAUGGGUGUUGAGUCACUUUUGGAGAUGAGAGAAAUCGCUUAUGAGCAAGAGUCCCAAGAGUUCUUGGCCUCCUUUGAAGCUUUCAUUUACUACCCAAGGGAUUCAAGAAUCAUUCAAGGAGAUGGGCUUGGACAUGUGGAGUUUACUGUGAAAGGGAAGGAAUAUUCAGUGUCAUUCAGAGAAUUGAGUAAGAUCUUUGGGUUUUCAACACCUAGAAAUGAAUUUCUCUCCAACUCGGUCAAUCUCAGAAAAGAUGAGAUCCAACUUCUAUGGAGAUCAAUUGCUUCUGGGAAGUACACAGCUGGAACAGCUAAGGCCUCUUGGAUAAGGAAUCCAGUUCUGAGAUAUGUACACAAGAUUCUCUCUCACAGCUUCUACUUCAAGAUUGAUGUUGGAAGAGUUCACAAAGGAGAUCUGCUGCUUCUAGGUGUAGGGCUGAGGCCGCUGAUGCCAACACAUGAAGAUGGGGAACCCUAUGUAGGGUAUGAAUACCCACUUUGCCUUGCAUCUCAAUUAGCAAGGUCUUUGAUGUUCUACAAAAAGUGCAUGUGGGAUUCUACAAACAAAGAUGCAAAGCUGACCCAUGGAUGGGUGGUAACAAAGAUCUUGAAAGCCAUGGGGUAUAGAUUCAAGGAGAACAAGGCAAAGUUUGAUCUGAUUAAUGAAGCACAUUUGUGUAGGAUUGGCUUUCUCCAAGGAAGAGUGGGUACCAAGGCAGUCUACAACUUCAAGACACUCAUCAGUGAGCCAGCCCAAGUUCUCCUACCCAAUCCCUCCAUCACCACAGUCCAAGUUAAAAGGAACAUUCACUUCUUCUUGCUGAAGGAAGAGCUGUACAAUGUCCAAACUGAUCCACCAAUCCUCACAUACAGGCAAGCUUGCAGAGAAGAAGCCUCCAAGGGAAAGAAAGCAACCGCUGAAGAUGCUACCACAAGUGCAGCUGGUGCUCACGAUGCUGAUCUGCCUCCACCUCAAAAACGUUUUGGUGGAAACAGAUAUCACUUUGAUGAUUACAACUGGGAGGAACCAGGCACUUCAGGGUUCAGAGCUCAACAGAAGAUUGGUAUUCUCCAACAAUGGUGCAAGUACCAAGACAAAACCAUCCACAAGAUGGCCAAGUGCAUCAAGGAGAUGAAGAAGAGGAUCAAGAAGCUUGAAAACCCUUGCAAAGGUGGGGCUCCAGCACCAGUUUCACCAAGGAACAGAGAGGAAGUUGGGGAGAGUUCCAUGAACUGCACAGCCUUGGUCGCAUAUGGAACCACUUGGGUAGAUCUUGACGACGGGAGUGAUGAAGCCAGCCACCAUUCUUGGGAAACACCGUCAGGCCACACAUCGAACCCCUCCUACUCAUUGGGGUCUGAUUUCAACAGCCACUAGGUAACACUCAAAACCUUGUAAAUAGCAUGUAGACUUUCUUUUCCUUUUGCAUUUUGCUUGUUUGCUUUGGUUUCACUUCUUUCUCAUACUUUUAUAACACAAGGGACUGUGUUAUUUAAGUGUGGGGGAGGAGUUUCAUCCUUUACUAACCAUGUUUUCUAUUUUCUCACUUUACACUUUGAGUCUUGAGUCACAUUCUAGUUGCAUAGUCAUCUAAGUGCAUAUAAAAACCAAAAAAAUGGAAAAAUCUGAAAAAUUUUCACAAAAAAAUGAUCAUGCAUUUGCAUAUAGGUUGCAUCUUGCAAGGAGUAAUGAUAGGUUUUCUAGAGAGUACAUCACUUUGAGAACUUGAAUUGAAUAUGCUUGUGAAUCUUUUUCUAUGCUUGCAAAGUCUGAAAUCUUUUUCUAUGCUUGCAAAGUCUGAAAUGAUUUGAAUCUGAGAAGCAAGUUUGAAUUAAACUCAACUUGAAAAUAUCUUGUGAUGCAUUGUUUGAAAAAGCUUGUGGAUACCAAUAUACAUACUUGAGCUAGAACCACUGUUUUUACCACUCUUUUCCUUAGCUCAAGUAGCUGAAUCCACAUCAUGGAUCAGUUCCCACACCUUGAACCCAUCCUUCUUUUAAGCCAAUGUUUGUGUGUGAAUUGAAAGGCCACCUUGGAUCAAACUUAGCAGAAAAUGUUAGGUUUAGAGCGACAAGGGCAGGUCUCAUUGAGUGCUGUGUUCCAACAUCAAGGAACUGAGAGUUUUGGCGAGGAAUAAGUGUGGGGGAAAAGACUUUUUGGUGAGUGGAAAAAGGUGAGAUGAGUGGAAAGAGAGAGUGAAAAUAACUAGGGGAAUGAAAGAAAAAGAAGUCAGUCUUGGUGUUUUGAGAAAGUGAGCUCUGGUUUGUUGAAAAGAAAAAUCUAGCCUCUAAGUGAAAAAGAAAGAAAAGAAGCCAAAAGCUCAAAUGUUUUGAUAAGAAAGAAAGAAGAGGCUAGAAGUUGUAAAAGAAAAAGAGCUGUGUAAAGUUUGAGUUCCAAGACUUGAGAGUGAAAGUGAAGAACAAAUCCCCUAGUGAGAGAAAAAUGAGUGUGAAAAGUGAGGUCUUUGAGCAAGAGAGGAAGCUUUGAGUAGAGGGUGGGGAGUGAUGAGUCUUUGCCCUUGUAUGCAUAGGUUGCUUUUUACCUUUAGCAUUCUGCCAAAGUUUGAUCAUUCAUAGAGAGAUCCCUUUGCUGCAUUUAACCCACUUGAACACUGAUGAGAUCAUUUUAAUCUCAUAGCCUCUCCCUAGCCAAGCCAGCUUGUUUAAACCUUGCAUCAUGAGAUCCACCUGAUAAAAGCUUAAUGAAUGUGAAAGAGUUGAGAGAGAGAAGAACUUGUGGAGAUUCCUUGCUGAGUUGACAUAUAUCUGAGUAUGGCUUUGCAUUGCAUAAUUGAGCAUGAACUUGAAUUCUCAUUGUGAUCACUUCUCUCAAAAAGAAAAUGUGAACUCCCAUUGCAUACAACCUCUUUCUCUCAUUUGCUCUUUUUGCUUGAGGACAAGCAAAGAACAAGUGUGGGGGAGUUGAUAUGUUCAUAAUUUGCAUCAUUUAGGUUGCAUAAAUCAUUCCAAAUCAUGUUUUAUUUCAUGUAUUUUAGGUCCUUAGGGUUUGUUUUAGAACUUAGGAGAUGCAUUAGGUCCCAAUGAGUCUUUGCAUGUUUUGAGUGUCUAUCAGGUGAUUAUGGAGCUGAAAAGAUGAAUCCAGGAGGUGGAAUGGUGAGCAGAGCUUGAAAAAAGUGGAAAACUUGAGUCUAUGGAGGUUAUCGGCCAUUCUCGCUGGCCAGGAAGGUUUUACCGGCCAUUUUCAUGUACCGCGGGAAGCUUUACCGGCCAUUUUCACGUACCGCGAAUUAAGUAUAUCGGCCAAAAUCUCCGGGUGCGAACGAGUCUCAGAAAUCACCUGUCCGGGGAGCCUUCCGGUCCGAUUCAGAUGGCGGGUCCUUCAUAGAAGUUGGAGAGCAUUGAAGCACGGUCUCAUAGCAAUUGGAAUCGUAGAAUUCGGACGCGUGAGCAGAGAGAUAAGCUCGUCGGAAGAAACCCCUGUCUCGCAGGUAUUCCGGACCGAGCAGAUCAGUUCUGAAGGAUGCGAAGGACGGUGCACUUCCAGGCCGAUUCAGCUUCCGGGUCCUUCAUGAGAAUCAGAGACAUUUGAGUCUUCUUUCCAGAACGUCCAAGAGCAUUCAAUUCGGAUCUAUGAGCAGGAAGAUACGGCCUCCGGAAUGGACACAUGUCUAGACGCCUCUCUCUGGUCGUAUACAUGCACUGCAAAGAUGUGCCCUCCAGGAAGCCUUCCACCUCCCAAGCACUGAAACUUCCUUCACAAAAGUUGGAGAUAAAUGAGUCCUCUGUCUUCUGCAACCGAAAUCAUUCAAUUCGGACAAGUAUCACAGGAGUUACACUCUCCGGAAUGCAAAGUGAUCUAAGCUGCUCUGGAUGCUGCGAGAUGGUCUUGCGACUUGGUUAACCCGCAGGCCUGAAGAUGAACGCCUGAAUGCUGAUGCUGCGAGUUGAAAUGUGCGGGUAAACUAUCACUGGAAGAGGUCUGGAGCUCCCGAGCAAGAGAAAUGCUAAGUCCACAAUCGUGCGACUUAGGCAUGCGAGUCAUCCGUGCCUGGAUCUAUGCCGCACGAUCACUCGGAAUUCACUCCGACUUGAGCCUGCGACCUAAGUGCAAUAGAGACCAACCCGCACAGUUUCUACAUCCCCCAGAAACCGGCUCAGCCCUGCGAGUUGGAGAGGAAGGAGACCAUGCCGCAGAAACACUCGCAAUUUACUCCUAGAUAGGCGUGCGGCUCCGACAAGGUGAUUCAAGCCUCACAAGACAAGUCUUCAUCUACUGCGACUUAGGUGUGCGGCCUGGGACAUACUGAACCGACCCGCAGCUUUUCCCACUUUAUCCAUUAAAGCCGGGUCAGGACCCGGUUUGUUCCGGGCUGACCCGGUUCGUUUUUAAGAAGGUAUAAAUACUUUUUAGGGUUUUUUGGGGGAGAACUAAGUUUUAUUCCCUUUGUCUCUUGCCUCUUUUGUGAAAAAGACUCCAUUAAGAAGAGAAAUAUCUAUUUUUGAGUGUUGAAUCAAGAGAGUUUUAAGAGAUCUGGGUGUUUAAAGCUGUUUACUUUUGAAUCUAUCAUCUCUAUCUCCAUUUCUCAUCAUUAAUCAUGCUAAUCUUCUCAACUUGCAAAGGUUUAAGAGAGAUUAGUAUGAUUAGUGAGUAAUCCCAUAUUAAGGUCUUAGAUAUGUAGAUUAGGGUGCUUAAGUGGUAGAUUAGCGAGCUUAGGGGUUAGAUCAUGCAUAUUCCAUUCUCUACAACUUGUUCUCUAUGCUAGAUCCAUACAAAUCAUAUGUGGUCUAGAUUCUGGGCAUUUCAUGCACCAAAAGUGUUUGAUGAAAUGCCUGAACCAAAGUUGUUAGAGGUUUAAGUGUUAUUCAUCAUGGGAAUGAUUGUUUAUAUGCUUAAAUGACAGAUUAAACUGAUUCUUAAUGCUUGUUAACUCAUGUUUCACUGAUGAUGAUUGGGUUUGGAACUGAUUUAGCAUAGGAGUUAAUGCCUUCAUGAGAGGAUUAACUUAGUUAGAGAUGUUUAUGUUAAAUGGCUUGCUUGAUCAUAUGAUACAUUAGCUCAUUAGUUUCACUGAAGGCACCCUAAUCCACUAUCAUGUCUAAGACCUUUCUUAUCAUCAUUCAUACAUUCUCAUCAUUUGUCAUUGUUUAGUUCUUGUUUAAGCAUUUCAUUAAUCCUUAAUCCUGUUUAAGUUUGUAGUUGUCUCUAGAUUAAUCAAAACCCACUCUUGUUUGCUUGAAUUAAGAACUUGAUCAUAUAGCUUAGUGUCUAACACCACAUCUGGAUUGAUAAACCUCUUUGUGCUACAUUGACAAGGGGAUUGAUAGCCCUGAGACCAUAAAAAGUCUUAUCUAUCAGGGUCCUUAAAACGCUAAGUGUGGUCCAAGACCAUUUCUACUGGCCACAUCUCAGAAAGGAAGUAGAACGGAUUUGCCAUAGGUGCACGGUAUGUAAGCUUGCCAAAGCCCGCAGCCAAGGCGCAGGUAUGUAUACUCCGUUAACCAUUCCAACCGAGCCAUGGACCGACAUCUCAAUGGACUUUGUCCUCGGGUUGCCUAGAACCCGCCGAGGUAAGGAUUCUAUCUUUGUCAUAGUCGAUCGGUUUUCUAAAAUGGCCCACUUUGUUCCAUGCCAUAAAACUGACGAUGCCUCAAACGUAGCUGAUCUGUUCUUUAGAGAAAUCGUUCGCUUGCAUGGAGUCCCUAGAACUAUCGGGUCCGACAGAGAUACUAAGUUCCUAAGUUAUUUCUGGAAGACUCUUUGGGCUAAGCUAGGAACCAAACUAUGUUUUUCCACAACUUGUCACCCUCCGACCGACGGUCAAACAGAAAAGGUCAAUAGGACCUUGUCAGCUCUUUUACGAUCGGUUAUUAAAAAGAACCUUAGGACUUGGGAGGAUUGUCUACCUCAUGUUGAGUUUGCUUAUAACCGUGCUAUUCACUCUACCACUCUGUUCUCACCAUUUCAGUUAGUCUAUGGUUUUAAUCCUCUUACGCCCUUGGAUAUAACCCCUUUACCAUUGAAUGAGCGUGAAAGCAUGGAUGGGAAAAAGAGAGCGGACUUGGUGAAGAAGAUGCACGAAAAAGCAAGACAAAACAUCGAAAGGAAAACAGAGCAAUUCCAGAAAUACGCCAACAAAGGAAAGACCAAAAAGGUGUUUGAGCCCGGAGAUCAAGUGUGGAUCUACCUAAGGAAAGAGAGGUUUCCGGAAGAAAGAAAGUCUAAACUUAUGCCGAGAGUGGACGGACCAUUCACUAUUCUGGAGCGGAUUAACAACAACUCUUACAAGAUCGAUCUCCAAGGUAAGUAUUCCGUCAGUUCUAGUUUUAAUAUUUCUGAUAUCAUUCCUUUUCAUGCAGAUGAAGCAGACUUGAGGACAAGUCCUUUUCAAGAGGGGGGGGGAUAAUAGAAUCAUGGAACCGAUGGAAACAAAGGACGAGACACAAGUCGAGGUUCAGGCCGAGGAACAAGACCAAGCUAUCGACCCUGAUGAUGUCCUGGUCGUGCCAGCCGGUCCAAUGACCAGGUCACGUACCAAAAUGCUUACGGGAGCGAUCCAGCGUGUGCUUACCGGUCUUAGGAGCCAAAGCCAAGUAACAGACCCAACACCAAAUCACAAGGCCAUGACCAUAAUAAUGUACUCAGGUCCGAACUAGCCUGGUUGGGGUGCUGUUUUAAUACUCUUUUUCCUUGCAUUCGGGUUUGUCCCACUGGGUUUACCGAAUGGGGUUUUAACGAGGUUAAAGCAUCACCCAUCUCACGAACAUGGUUCGUUCGCGUCUUGAUACAACGUUUAGAAGUUCAAGAGUUAUUGAGAGGAUGCGAAGGGUCAUUCAGGAAGUCUGAUCGUUAUUCAACGUUUUUCGUUUUCAUUUAAUUUCUUUUAUUUCCCUAUGUAUGACAGAUGGUCUUCUUAUGCCUCUAUAUAAAGGCAUCGUUGUACUCAGACUGAAAUCAUCACUUUUCUCUUAAUAAAAUUUUCCUUUGAGUUUUCUCUUUGUUCUUGGUGAACUUUUCGAUAUUUGGUGGUUAGCCAUUUGAUCGUUCUGGUUUAUCAAGUAGUUUACAUCCUGCUUGACGCAGCCUUCGUUUACAAAGAGUGAGAGAGAGUUCGUAGUCAUAGCCGGGGCUUGGGGAUUUUCGGGACUUGUCUCACAUCCUAACAUCCAAUAUCGCGACCUUGUUCCUCUUUGUUCCAUCCCCUCGUUUUCGUUCUUUCUCAGAAAUUGGGCCUAAGGAUAUUCGGGUUUACGCCCACGCCUUAGCAUCUCUUUCUCUGAAACGAUCCGGAAUCAAGGAUCUAUCAACCGCCACCGAGCCAAGUGUGUGACAAUUCUAGGACGGUUCUUAUCACCAUGAAUUCGUACUGAAACAACUAAGUCUCUGUGGAUCGAUACCCUAAGUACUACAGCGCACAUCUGUGCACUUGCAGAAAUUUGGGGGUUAUAAAUUUAAAAUCUGAAGCUUAGUAGAACGAACCAAUACCCCGUUUACAAACCACAAUCAGUCAUGCACCUCAGCUGGGAUACGAAGGUCGUCAGGGUCGGGCACUGGUAGGAUUUUGCCACUAACUGUUGCACUCCAAAUUGAUUUCUUAAGAAUUGGAUCAACCAAACUGCUGUACUCCACUUGACGAAGCCUAGCCGCGGCCAUUGCAUGUCGGCAAGGGUAUUUCAAUAUCUGAAACUCUAGACAUGAGCAUUUUUUGUUUAGAAGAUCUACAUGCCACCGUUGAUAACACCGGAUUUUGACCAUUUUUAUGGAUCACUUUAAUGUCUUUUACAGGUGUUUUUACUCCAUUUUCAAAGGUUUUCAAAGGAUUUCUAUGUUUUCGGAUUUUAAAAGACUUUUCAGGUAAUUUGGGAUAAAGAGGCACAAAAUGGAACAAAAAGACUCUUUUGGAUAAAUGCAGACCGUCAGAACUCUCAUGGAGAGACGAAGACCUUCUCACUGUCUGAUCACCCUCAAAAUUGGACAACUUAUAGAAGAAUCAACCAGCUUUCAAAUGCACUUGGUCUGGAGACAUUCCAACGGUUGGAUCUCAAGAUAUUCCAUCAGCCCCGGAGCCACUCAAAGAUGGCCAGCAAAUCACGCGACCGCGGCCACCAGCCCAUUCCCCGCGGUCACAAGCUUCCCGACCGGGGCCAACCACCUAUUUCCCGCGGUCACGUUACUCCCGACCUCGGUCGGCCAACUCCGAAUUAAAGCCCAUAUUUCUGAAGCCCAAAGUCAUUUCUCAGCCUCAAUUCCGGAACCCUAGAGACCAUGGAGUAUUGAAGACUAUAAAUACUUGUCAUUUAGGUCGUUUUUAGAGACCACCUUCAUACUUUUACAGAAACCCUUUUCUUUUGGCCGUUUUAUGCGAUUUUUAUAGAAGAUUGUUCAAGUCUGAGUUCUUCAAUAGAGAAGCUUUCUUUCAUCUCUUUUCUUUACUGUUUUUGAUUGCUUUUAUUAAAACCAAUGAUGAUGUCGACCUCAGCCAUGUCUGAGUAGAUCCCGAGUUGGGCUUAGGGUUCCCGAAAGGGGCUCUCAUAUUCGAUUAAGACAUCUAGGUUUAUAGAUCUGGGAUUUUAACUUUAUUCUCUGUUUAUUCUCGUUCUUAUUGCAUGUAUGCCUGAUUGAUCACCUAGUAUCUGAUCUAGAUAGUUAGUGUUGCGAAAGUUUUCAUUAAGUAUCAGACCUAGAAUGAAACAGGCAAUUUUUCCGUAGGAGUGGAAACCUACCUGCGGCGAGAUCGUGAGUAUUGAUGAGUCUUGUGCAGCUCUUGCGUUCUCUCCCUUCCAGGGCCAGAGUGGAAACCUACUGGUCAGGGUUGCGAGAAACAGUUGGUUAUGAUCACGACAAUGACGUAGUCAUACCGCCGUACUCUAGCUCUAGAACCCUAUAUUUCGAUAUCCGUCAAUCCCAAUCUAUCAUCCCUAGUGUUAAAACCGAUUAUGAUCCCUGUAGAGUUCCCGAAAGCUCAGCGUUUUUAGCCAUAGUUUACAAACCAAUCGAUUUUUACUUGCUUAUUUAGAUCUGCAUUUCAAUAGCUUUAGUUCGAUAUUUUGCUUGCUUUAUUUGCUUUCCAUUCGAUUUUUCUACUUGCUCUUUAGGAUAGAUUUAUUUGCUUUCUUUCGUUUUAGUUUAAUCUGUGACACACAACCAACCUCUGAAACCAAUCUAGUCUAGAAAUAAAGUUAGAAACCGUAGAAGAAUACCAGACACACAAAUCUCUGUGGAUUCGAUCCCUAAAUACUACAACUGAUUAGCUGUGCACUUGCGGCUUUCAUUUGUUUUUGCUAAGGGUAAAACUUGUUCCCUCACGCAGUUGACACGCAUCAGCCGUACACCUAUGAACUCAGAACUGACUUCAACCUCCCACGCAGAAAUGCCUUGAACCGAUAGUGCAGCAGAUUUUUCAAGCUGCAGGUUCAUUAACUUGUCAACUUCUUCUGGAAUGUCACCAUCCAUCUUUUGAAUUUUAUCUCUUCUGCAUUCAAGCCACCUACUUAACAUUCGCAUGAUAAAUUCUAGCAUUGCAACGAUUGGACUGUCUCUUGCUGCAAAUAGUGCAUUGUUCAGAGACUCCGCAAUGUUACUGGAGGUCAUAUUAUACCUCUGACCAGAAAAGUGUGAUCUAGUCCACAGCGGAAGAGGGAUUUUUUCCAUGUACUCCCAACAACGAUAGUCAACAUCCUUCAGCCUUGCGUAUAGUCUCUUGAAGUUAGAAACUGUGAACGCUUCUCCAGCCUUUUCAACCAAACCUUUCUGACCGGAACCUUUGUAUUUACUGUGAACAGUUCUCUGGAUAUGGACAAGACAUGCACCGUAUGUGCCUGUGGAUACCAUUUCUUUUUAGCUUUGGCAAUUCCACCGUGCCUAUCCGAGAUAAUAGAAAGAUCAGAGGAAUCUGGAAUAAUGUCUACCAACUUCUCAAAGAACCACCUCCAUGUCUGGUAAGACUCUGCAUUGACAACGGCGAACGCUAUUGGAAAAACCUGGUAAUUAAAAUCUUGUCCACUGGCCGUUAAUAGACAACCCUGAUACUUACCAAUAAGGGGAGUUCCAUCAACAACAACUACCGGUUUCAAAUGUUUCCAUCCAGAUAUACACGCAGCCAAUGCCACAAAUACGAACUUAAACCUUGUCAUACAUUUUCCAUCUUUUUCAUCUCUCUCAGUUGACAAAUGCGUUAUGGUGCCGGGGUUAGCAUACUUGAGCACAUGGAGGUAAAUCGGUAAUAAUUUGAAAGAAGUUUCCUCUGUUCCGUGAGCAGAGUAUAUAGCCAGCUCCUUAGCUUUCCAGCAUUUCCAGUACGAGGCUGUAAUAUUAUAUUCGGACAGAACAAUUGCAGGUAGUUCACUCGCACGUGGACCAACUAUUGCCUUCUCGUACUUAGACUUCAGCAGAGCCGCCAUGACUUUAGAAGUCGCAUGCUUAGAAAUUUUUUUUCUUGUAUCCGGGUGGCAUGUAUGCUUCAAGCACGCCUUCCAAUCACAUAUCUUUGCUGGACAUUCGGCGACUGUGUACUUCUUCGCAUGCCUUUUGAAUUCGAACGUCACUACAUUCUUCAGCGCAUUGAUGGCCAACGUGACUUUAAAGUGUUCCUUGUUCCUGAACUUUUUCCCAACCCAUAUCUCUCCAUCUUCAUUUGACAAAUCAAGUUCAACAAAAUCCCCUUCCAUAUCAUCAGAGACUGGUGCCACAUCUGGAAAUCCAUAUAGUUCUGUACGUUUAAUCGCUUUCUUCAGUUCUGCACCGCCAUUCUGACGCCCCCAAAUGACAUCACCUGUCAGAGUCUCCACAAAAUCAUCAUCAUCUCCAUGGGGAGCCAGAACCUUCUCACAUACAGUCCUCUUUCUUCCUGGAAAAUGAAUAGGACUCUCCGUUAGGACAUUUGAGUAGUCCAUAUGGUUUGAAUCACUCGGCUCACUUCCCCGACUACUUCCACAACCCCCUGAACUACCAGAGUCAUUCCUUAUCCUCAUCAAAUCCAGGUUUAGAAUGGAAACCCUUACCAUCUGCUAGUACGUAAUCAUUCCACCAGUCAAAAUCAUAAUCCGGAUCAUAAUCAUCAUCAGAGCCAUAUACGUCAUCGUCAACAUCAUCAGCUUCCUUCUCUUCCAAAUCUCUCGCCUCGUCUGAUUCCUGGGACAUUUUUAAUUCCAACUCUGGGUGGUCAACAGAGACAGCGUUACUUGGAACAUCAGGUUUUACAUUAACGGAGGUGUUAGUGGUGGCCUUAGCCUCUACUUUCUCUGAUUCCUGGGACAUUUUUAAUCCCAACACAGGAUGGUUUACAGAGACAACUUCAGGUUGUACACCUUUGGAGGUGUUCAUUGCGGCCUCUGCCUCUACUUUCUCGACAUGUGCUAUCAGCAAACAAUCAUCGAUAUCUUCAUCAUCUGCUUCAUCAUCGGGUUGACUAGACACUGCCAAAGAAGAGGCUAAGAAGUUUGUUGGCCCUAAGGACUUUUGCCGUUCCCUAGCAAUUUCAACUUCAAGACUUUCCUUUUGUUUCAAUCUCACCAUUUCACCAUUUACUGACUCCUUGAAUGUGACAAAUAAAUUCACAGACUUAUCAGACUUAUGCAGCGAACGGAAGAAUUUGUACUCUCGAGAAGUAACUAUCAUACAUGGACAAAUCCCAUCACCAUUAAGCUCAGCUAGAACAUCAUCAAACCAGUAGGAAAUCUCCACCGAAACAACUCUCGGGUCUAAUCCAAACUCAUGCGCAAUCAGAUUUCUCAAAUCAUCUGGUCCGGACACAUCUUUGCAAUUUAUGCACCUUCCACGACGAGAUAUGUCCAUUUUGAAAUCCCAAUCUCUUGUAUAGUACCUUAUCCACGUUCCCGCCAUAACAAGAAUGAACACAUCCACUGCAAAUCGCGAACACCAUAUCUAAAAAAAUACUGGCAAAUAGCGAACACCAGAACAAAAAAUUCGAAAAUAACUAUGACAAAUCUACGGGUGUACAAUAAUAGGAUUAAGUAACUAACCGUGGUUGUUGUCCUCUUGAUCAUCGCAUAAUUUCCCCUUCAAUUUCAACAUCUUCUCGAAAGGGAAACUAGGGUUUCUAAUUUGGUUAGGGUAUUUUGUUUCUUAUUUUCACUCAAUUUAUCUCCAUUAUCUCUAAUUAACCACAAUUUUUCCCGCCAAAAUAAAAGAGAAUGGGAAGGGUAGUUUUGCCUCUAAUGAGUUGGGUAAUUGUGCCAUUGUUUCCGGCCCAUAACCAAAGCCCAGUAUGCUAAGGUGGUUUUUUGGAAAUUUCAUUCCGAAAUUCGGAAUCAGGCCCAAAAAACGAUCCAAUCACGCGCGUGAGUUUCUCUCUUCUCGGCUGCUACGCACGCGGACACACACUACUCCUGGGACCCACGGUAUUAUCUGCGUCUGUAUCUCUCUAAGAGACAGACUUCUCUCUCUCUCUCUCUCUCUCUCUCUCUCUCUCAGAAACAAGGGUAAGUUUGACAUUAUGAAAGUAUGUCCCUACCCUGACUAAUUAAAACUCAAAACUACCCAUUCCUCAAAUUAAAACUUAAAAACUACCAUAUUUUCAAAUCUACCCUUUCCUAAAAUGUUCACCCCUCCUUUCCCUUUCAGAUGUUGUUAAGAGAUUAUUUUGGCGUUUAGUGCAAGUCAAAUUUCCCAGUAGGGUUUCUCCGAUUUAGGGUGUCUCAAUUUGGUAUCACAGCCUAGGUUAAAGGCCACUCCGGCUGUCCCAGAAGGUUAGUAGUUUUUGCUCGGAUCCUUAGUUGUGUAAAAAAUUAGAUGGGUUCUAAUCUAAGAUCAUUCUAUUUUUAUCAAGUAUAGAGAUGGAUCAACAAUCGAAUUUGCGAGAGAGUUUUCAAAUGAAGAUCCUGAGUCCAUCAUUAUGCCAGAGCUUAUAGACGCAACAAGGAAUUCUAGAGAGUAAAGUGAAUGAUCGUUGUUAGUAUUUGAGCAUGACGAGGUCGUUGUCCUUGGGAUGUCACUAUCAGAGAUCAAAAAGAAAGACGCUCCAUGGUAUAGUCGAUAACCAAGUAGAGAAGAACGAAUCUGCAAAUUCUAGGAAAUUUUAUUUGAAAUGGAGGAGUUUGUAACAUCCGAAGAAUAGUGUUUUGGCCCAAUUUUUUUGUUUCAACCCGAUUAGUCAAAGCCUAUCAGAAAAACUCUCAAACCCAACUUCCUUAUUUACCUCUCUAUAACCCUAAAUCUAGAAGUCUCUCCUCUAAACUCUAUAAAUAGAGGAUUCAUAACUUAGAAGAAAUCAUAGAGCUAUCUUGUGGCGAAGCACCUUGAAGGAGAAGCCACUGUAGCCAUCUAGGAGGCAAAUCUGACCUGUUCUGCCUUAAGAGAGAAACAGAUAGGCUAAUUGGAAUGGAUCGGCCUGAAAAUUGGUAUGCAUUUUUUUCAACUCUCAGAUCUAGCUAUAGCAGGUAGCAGAUCUUCAUUUGGAGUUUUAGUUUGAAAGUUAUGUACGUUUUCCCGAAGCAGAUCUGCAGAGAUCAGACUCACGAGAAGCCAACUUCGGAAGCGUUUUACCGGCGAUCUAGAAAGUUCCAGAAAGCGACCUACAUACAGCUGUGAAGCCUGUGAACCCAAAAUUCCAUAUCAACCUAUAGAUUUACAUCCCAACGUAUGUCCAUUGAGUUGUGCCUGUUUCUUUCCAUCGAAGUCUUCAUCCUUCCAAAACCCUAAUUUUAUUUUGAGGAAGUUUCCUUUUCCAAGAAUUUCCAGUUAUAGAAAGUCUAAUUAUGGCACGUUUAUUUAUAGUAAGUCUGUUUAUGGAAACUUUCUUUUCUAAUCGCAGUUUCCCGAAAAGUCGUUUCUCCAAUCGCCAUCGUUUUGACCCAUAUUUAACCGAGCGCUAUUCCAGGUUCUUUUUAGAUUAAGGUGAGGACUAGGUUGUGGAUUCCUAUGAUAAAUUAGAUGAAUUAGAAUACUUGUAUGCUUGGUAUAUGGAUUAUAUAUGAUUGAUAAAUGCUGAUUGACAAUUGAUGGUUGAUGGGUGAUUGUUAACGGAAAAUGAGUAAUUAUUAAGAGAUAUGAUAAUUUAUGAAGUAUUAACUUGCUAGGGUAUCAGAAUUUAUUGUGUGACGGCCUACAAUGAGGAACUGAAUAUUGUGAAAUUGUAGUGAUCGAAAAAUUGUUUGACGGCCUUGAUGGUGACUUGAUGUGUGGUGUCGAGGGUUUGUCAAGUUUUACCCUAAUUAAAAUCAAUAGCCGCAAGUGCACAGCUGAUCAAUUGUAGUACUUAGGGAUCGAAUCCACAGGGAAGGAGGAUCUUUUCCUGCAAAAAGCCUUUGAAAUAAGUUAAAGUAAGGAAGUCUAGAACAAAAACGGUUUUGUAGGGGUUUGGUAGUGUGUUUAAAAUGUAAAAACGAAAUAUUAAAAGAGAAUACGGAAAUUAAAUGACGUAAUAACUAAACUUAAUGAAAAUGACUAAAAAUGAUAAAAACGAAUAUUCUAAUGCUUAAAUGAAAAUGAACUAAAAAGGAAAGACAAUAUUGAACUAAAGCUUGAAAGAAAAUCGGUGUAACUCAAUGGGAAAGAAAGCGUUGGGGUUCAGGGAAGUUUUCUCAGGGGUACGAACGAUUCAAAACAUUGCUAGAGAGGAAAUUUUAUAAGAUCUUAGCUUAAAAUUUUCGAACUGGAGUCACGGACGUAUGAAUACGCCACUGUCGUGAUCAUAGACAACUAUCUCUCUCAACCCUGACCAGUAGGUUUCCACUCUGGCCCUGGAAGAGAAGAGAUGCAUUAUGUUUAAGACUCGUCCUCAUUCACAAAUCGCCCAUAGGUAGGUUUUCACUCCUAUGUUUGUUUUGCUCUCCCAAACUAGAUCUGAUACCUGAUGAAAUCUUUCGUGUCACCAAGCAUCUGGAUCAGAUUGUAGUUCAUGACGCUACUCUCACGCAGUAAAAACGAAUUCAGAAGAAAAAGUUCUAAGAUUCGGCUCAAAAACUCAUGGAAUCCUCAUCGAACAUAUAAAUCCCCAUCGAAAAUCCCUUAAUCCCAACAAUAAAACUACUCAGACAUAAUGAACGAAAUCAUAAACAUAAUAUUAAUAAGUAGAAUAGAAACCGAAAUUGAAAAAGAAAGAACAAGGGUUCAAGAGAACAAAUCUCUCUCUCCCUAAAAGCGAAAGCAAAAACAAGUAUUCUAAAACAAUAAGAAAGAUAGAAGAUUAUCGAUUAGGGUUCCUAAGACAUGUAUUUAUAGUGCUCAAGACCUCUCUGGACGUCACUUAGGGUUUCUCCAAAUGAGGGAAUCAUUGUGGGCUUCAGAAAUGGGCUUUUGGGCUCGGAGGUUGAUGGACGCGGUCGGGAGUGCUCUGACCGCGGGGAAUGGGUGGUUUGCCGCGGUCGGGAUGCUCCUGACUGCGGGAAAUUGCUUGUUGGCCGCGGGUGGAAGUGCUUGCCGGCUGGUUUAUGGGACAUCUUGCUCUUCGCGUAUCUUUUGAUUGAACCGUUGGAUUGCCAAGCUGUAAAGUGCACUGGAAAGCUGAUACUUCCAUCUUUAAGGUCUCCAAAUUUGAGCUGGAUCAGACGGUGCGAAGGCCUUCAAUCAUGGGUGAACUUAUGACGGUUUGACUCUGAGCUGAAAUCUGGUUUUCUAUUUAUUUUGUUAAGCUUUUCCCUAAGUUACCUGAAAAGAGUCUUGGAACCACAAAUACUAGAAAAACGUGAUAAAAGUACUUAAAAGCAAUUAAAAACAUAGAAAAAGUAUUUCAAAACGAUCCAUAAAAGUGGUCAAAAUACGGUGUUAUCAACUCCCCCAGACUUAAACCUUUGUUUGUCCUCAAACAAAGUAAAAGCAUAAACUGGUUAAGUGAAAACAAAAAUAGGAAAUGCACAAAUCUCAUAGACAUGAACUCUUAAACUAGGACCAAAGAUAGUGCAUCAAUCCACAACUCAGUCUAGAAAAUUCUCACCAAUGCACAAGAGAUACUAGUCCACUUUUUCCGUCAUGCAAAACUUAAACAAUCUAAAUCUUGAUUCCAGUCAACUAGCUCUCUACAUUCAUUAAGUUCAAUAGUGAGUUCUCAUUAAAAACAUCAUCCAGGGUAGACGGUGUUUGGCAUUAAAGAGCUAUUUAAGUGGUAGAGUUAAAGUGUUUUGGGUUACCUGAAGAUCUGGAGGAUGCAAGAUAAUAUGCAAAACCGCUAGAGAGAUAAGGACCUGUUGAUGACCACAGUUUUCAGUCAUUUCUUCUUGCCAAAUGUUGUUGCAUAAUCUUUCCUCCUUUGUUGUAAACAGCUGUUCCCCCAGACUUAGAUUCUUUCUGGGAAUCAGAAAACAAUCUCCAAAACUCCAUAAAAUCAAACUCUAGUUGCCUUGGGACUUAAAAUUCGACCUAUCUAGACUCUCUAAGGCUUUUAUUUCCUUUCUUUUCUUAUUUUCGGAUUAUUUAUUUUUUUUUUUUUUUUGGAAAGGAAAUGCCUUUUAAAGAGAGAGAGACUAGAGGACGAGAUUGUACCAAAAUUUGAGAUUUUUCUAAGGCAAACUACGCUUCCUCUUGUGUUGAAUCCUUCCGGGAACUUUUCCGGCAAAUCGCAGGUCUUUGUCCUUGGUGACUGAAAACUGCGUCGUUCCUCUUUCUCUCCAACGUUUUUGAACUUAUCUGCAUAUAAGACAAUAGAAAACAAGAGUGCAUGUGGUUUGAAAGAGGAUUGGUUAAGGUGGGGAACUAGCUAAAGAUGAACUAGCCAAUCAGGAUCAACAGAGAGUGAUAAAAGGAUAAAGGAGUCCUGAAUGUAUGAUUCGUUUCCCUGGUCUAAUGCUUCAAUGAGAAAAUUAAGUCCAAAUUAAGUCCAAAUAAAACAGAGCUAGUGUAUCCCUUCAUCUAAAUCAAAAUCAUUCAAAUUCCUAUGGGGUACUUCGUUUCAAAUGUGCUUAGCUACCGCCUAGUCUAUUCCUAAAUCAUGAAUGAGGAAGUCACUAGGAACAGUCUAAAGGACACAGUCAACUAUCAUUGAUUCAUGUUCACCAUUCCUUUUUAAAACGUAUUUUGUUUUGAAAACCGAUUUUGAAAAACUUUAAGGAAAAUGCAAAAAGUGUAGAUAAUGCAAGACUCAUGAAAGAAAAGUGGUUAGAAAGGGAUGAAAUCCUCCCCCAGACUUAAAUCACACUGUCCUCAGUGUGAAACAAGUCGAGAUUGGAUGAGAAAAAUGCAUAAAUAAUCGAAUUGGUAAGGACAAAGAGAACUUACCUGGAUCCGGGAUGCUGGUGGAGAUGAACCGGAUUCAUUCGAAGGGGUUUGGGAAGGUGAUUAGGUGGUGAUUAAGGUAGUGGAAGGUGAUGAAUGAGGUGGAGGGUGAUUGGUGAGGUGGAAUGGGGUGAAAGGGGUGGUUUGGGUCGAGUUUGGAUGUCAACGACAAAGUGCCGCGGUCAGGGGCUGCACGACCGCGGCAAACAAGCACUUGGCCGCGGUCAUAUUCACGCGACCGCGGUCGAUGAGUAGUUUCCCGCGGUCAGAACAUCUGCGACCGCGGGGGCUUAUAUCGCGGCCUCUUCCUGCUUCUCCUUGGUUCCUGCUGGGCCGAGCAGUCAGAUACCAUCCUUCUUUUUGGUCUUUUCGGGUUUUUUGAUUUUUUUUGGCUUUUUUGUUUUAUAAGAAACACCUGAAACUAAGAAAAAGAAAAAGAAAGAAAAAUCCUAAAGAAAACAAUACCUAAAUUGGUUGCCUCCCAUUGAGCUCUUCUGUUUUAAGUCGUUUAGCUCGACUUUUGGUGUUGGACGUGACUUAUUCCAUUGAAGAAGACCUUGUCCUGAGACAAGUCUUUUUCGAAAUCUCCUUGCCUUGCUUAGCAGGUUCUUCGUCACUCCAAAGCUCUUCUUCAAACUCUUCUGUUGCAGGACGUUUUCCUGCUUUGAUGUUGUAUGGAACAGCUUCUGUGAAGACAUCUUUGUCGAUAUUAGCAAACGAAAUCCUCAGGUUGGGCCAGUCCAUUAUAGCUCCAGAAGUUUCUAGAAAAGACCAUCCCAGAAUCACUGGAUAUGUUGCAUCUCUUGUCUCGACAAUGUAGAAGUCGACAGGCACUAUGCAAUCUCUUAUUCUCAAAGGAAUUUCAUGAGCUAUUCCUUGAGGUGUUGCAUUAGAAUCAUCAGCUAGACUAAUCUUUGCUCUAGUCCUGCGCAGGUGUCUAAUACCAAGUCUCAAAGCAAUUGCCUUGGACAUCAUGUUAAGACAAUCUCCAGAAUCACAUAGCACGUUUUUAAACAUCUCUUCUCUAAUAGAACAAGAGAUAAGAAACUGACCUGCACCAUCGAUUUUGUGAAGUGUUCGAACAGGUUUAUUUUCCCUUUGACCUUUAUUUUCAAUUUCCAUUGCUUUGUUUCUGUUUCAUUUAAAUUCAGGUUUUCAAUAAGGAAGAACAAACACAAAAGACGAGCAGCACUCUCCAGCAAGAUAAGUACACUUAAACAUUUCAACUUUUCUAUUUUCUUUAUCAUUAUUUCCAAGAUUUAUCACACUGAGGACAGUGUGAAAUAAGUCUGGGGGAGGAUGUUUAUCCGUUACUAAUGAAAUUUGAUUUGUUUUGAGUUUUUUUUGGACACAUAAAAUUUUUCAUUAAAAAUUUUCAAAAAAAAAAAAAAAAAAAAAAAUCGUUUUCAAAAAGUUUUCAAACCAGGAACACAAUAAACAUUUCUAUGAUGAUUUAGACCAGUGUGCUUCUACGCUAUUUCCUCGUUUUUUGCUCUUUUGUGAUCUAGGCCUAGACUAGGCGGUAACUAGAGUACUUGCAUUACGAAAUCCCACCAGAGGACUUCUAUCCAUGGAGAUUCUUUCUGACAGGGUAUACUAGCUCAUUUUAUUUGACAUUAAUAUUGACAUUUAAUUUUCUCAUCAUUGAUUUUAGGCAGGCAUCGACAUACAUAUCUAGGACGUCUUUUACCCUCACUUUUACCACUCUUUGUCGUCCUAGAUGACCAGUUUAUCUUUAUCUGGUACCAUACCCUAAACCCAAAACCCUUGUUUUCAAUCCUCGUGCAUUCUCUCUUUAGUUUAUAUCAGCAGAUAUGUGCAAAAACGUCGGAGAGAAGAGGAGCGACGCAAUUUUCAGUCACUCACAAAGGAGACUGAAUGGAAUUGGGAAGGAAGAGUAUCAGAAACAUCAAGAAGCUUUACAAGACAAAUCUUAACUGGUAAUUUCGUGCUCUCUAAGACUCUAUAUCUAAAGGUGUUCUCUCUCUUUCAAAAAAAAAAAAAAAAAACGAAUGAAAAGAGAGAGAGAGAAACAAAAAGCCUAAUGAGUCCUAGAUUGUCAAAAUUUGUGGAGCAAGAAGAAUCUACUAAGCGUUUAUAGAGCUAUGUUUUUGAAAGAUUUACAAAAAUCUAAGUCUGGGGGAGUUAGGAGAGAACCUGAGGAAGAAGGCCAGUAAUCUAUGGCAAGAGGAAAGUGACAGAAAACUGUGGAUACCAACAGCUUCACUCUCUCUUGCGGUUUUGCAUAAUAUCUUGCAUUCUCCAGAUCUUCAGAUACUCCCGAUGCAAGAAUGACAGAAAAUGCAGUUCCGGAAGAGAGCAGUUGCCAGGACCGCGGCAAACACCCAUUUUCCCGCGGGUAGAGCCACCGCGACCGCUGACUUUGGUCGUUCACUUUCCCGACGACUUAAUUAAAGCCCAGAUCAAUUCCUUUCGUUAUUUUUGAAGCCCUAAGUGUCCAGAACCACCCCAGAAGCUAUAAAUACCUCCUUUAGGUCAUUCCUAAAGGUGUGGAGACGACAUAAGAUAGAAAGAGAGAGAGAUUUCGUGGAACCCUAGAGAGGAGCCACCGCCGUCGAUCCCGAAGAAGGAGCCGCCGCUGGAGAGCAUCAUCGCGCCUCCACCUGCAACUCUGUUCUUCGUUUUUCUUCUUUCUUUUCUUUAAUUUCCUGCAACUUUCAAUACUCUGUGAUGAUUGUUUACAAUAUGUUUGAGUAGUUACCCAGUUGGGUUUAAAGGGAUUGUUCAAAGGGAAUUUCAUGUGUCUUUGCUUAUGAAUUGAUAGAUUUAGGAUUAUUAAUCUUCUAGAUGUUCUUCGUUUGCCUUUAAUCUUACUGUGUGAUUCUUUGCUGGCCACUUAGAAGCCGAUCUGAUAUGAUAUGUUGCGAAAGCUUUCAUUGAUUGUCUGAACUAGGGUGAAACGAGCAAUUCUUCUAUAGGAGUGGAAACCUACCUGUAGUUGAGUUGUGAAUAUUGAUGAGUCUUGUUCUGCUAUUGCAUCNNNNNNNNNNNNNNNNNNNNNNNNNNNNNNNNNNNNNNNNNNNNNNNNNNNNNNNNNNNNNNNNNNNNNNNNNNNNNNNNNNNNNNNNNNNNNNNNNNNNGAAUUCGUACUGAAACAACUAAGUCUCUGUGGAUCGAUACCCUAAGUACUACAGCGCACAUCUGUGCACUUGCAGACAUUUAGGGGUUAUAAAUUUAAAACCUGAAGCUUAGUAAAACGAAAACAACAAUCCCCGGCAACGACGCCAAAAACUUGAUGGUGACUUGAUGUGUGGUGUCGAGGGUUUGUCAAGUUUUACCCUAAUUGAAAUCAAUAACCGCAAGUGCACAGCUGAUCAAUUGUAGUACUUAGGGAUCGAAUCCACAGGGAAAGAGGAUCUUUCCUGCAAAAAGCUUUUGAAAUAAGUUAAAGUAAGGAAGUCUAGAACAAAAACGGUUUUGUAGGGGUUUGGUAGUGUGUUUAAAAUGUAAAAACGAAAUAUUAAAUGAGAAUACGGGAAUUAAAUGACGUAAUAACUAAACUUAAUGAAAAUGACUAAAAAUGAUAAAAACGGAUAUUCUAAUGCUUAAAUGAAAAUGAACUAAAAAGGAAAGAGAAUAUUGAACUAAAGCUUUAAAGAAAAUCGGUGUAAAUCAAUGAGAAAGAAAGCGUUGGGGUUCAGGGAAGUUUUCUCAGGGAUACGAACGAUUCAAAACAUUGCUAGAGAGGAAAUUUUGUAAGAUAUUAGCUUAAACUUUUCGAACUGGAGUCACGGACGUAUGAAUACGCCACUGUCGUGAUCAUAGACAACUAACUCUCUUAACCCUGACCAGUAGGUUUCCACUCUGGCCCUGGAAGAGAAGAGAUGCAUUAUGUUUAAGACUCGUCCUCAUUCACAAAUCGCCCAUAGGUAGGUUUCCACUCCUAUGUUUGUUUUGCUCUCCCAAACUAGAUCUGAUACCAGAUGAACACUUUCGUGUCACCAAGCAUCUGGAUCAGAUUGUAGUUCAUGACGCUACUCUCAUGCAGUAAAAACGAAUUCAGAAGAAAAAGUUCUAAGAUUCGGCUCAAAAGCUCAUGGAAUCCUCAUCGAACAUAUAAAUCCCCAUCGAAAAUCCCUUAAUCCCAACAAUAAAACUACUCAGACAUAAUGAACGAAAUCAUAAACAUAGUAUUAAUAAGUAGAAUAGAAACCGAAAUUCAAAAAGAAAGAACAAGGGUUCAAGAGAACAAAUCUCUCUCUCCCUAAAAGCUAAAGCAAAAACAAGUAUUCUAAAACAAUAAGAAAGAUAGAAGAUUAUCGAUUAGGGUUCCUAAGACAUGUAUUUAUAGUGCUCAAGACCUCUCUGGACGUCACUUAGGGUUUCUCCAAAUGAGGGAAUCAUUGUGGGCUUCAGAAAUGGGCUUUUGGGCUCGGAGGUUGAUGGCCGCGGUCGGGAGUGUUCUGACCGCGGGGAAUGGGUGGUUUGCCGCGGUCGGGAUGCUCCUGACCGCGGGAAAUUGCUUGUUGGCCGCGGGUGGAAGUGCUUGCCGGCUGGUUUACGGGACAUCUUGCUCUUCGCGUAUCUUUUGAUUGAACCGUUGGAUUGCCAAGCUGUAAAGUGCACUGGAAAGCUGAUACUUCCAUCUUUAAGGUCUUCAAAUUUGAGCAGGAUCAGACGGUGAGAAGGCCUUCAAUCAUGGGUGAACUUCUGACGGUUUGACUCUGAGCUGAAAUCUGGUUUUCUAUUCAUUUUGUUAAGCUUUUCCCUAAGUUACCUGAAAAGAGUCUUGGAACUACAAAUACUAGAAAAACGUGAUAAAAGUACUUAAAGCAAUUAAAAACAUAGAAAAAGUAUUUCAAAACGAUCCAUAAAAGUGGUCAAAAUACGGUGUUAUCAGGCCUAUAGUGAGGGACUGAAUAUUGUGAAGUUGUAGUGAUCGAGAAAAGGCUGAUGAGCCAUUAUCAAACCAUGUAGAGGGCGGUGGCACCGGGAUUAACUAUUGAAUCCUGUGAUUGGGCGGAGGCAUUAAUCGUCAAACCCAUUUAUGGGCUGUGGCAUAAAAAUGAGUACUUUGGAUGGAGGUUCUUUGGAAAUGUGAAGUAGACUUGUUAGACUGAUUGUUUUGAUUGAAUGAAUGAUUGUGUUUAUUUAGAAAUAUUAUGAUCAAAUAUAUUAUAAAUAAUGUUAGUUAGGUUGGGUGUCUAAUAUCUAUUUAUGUAUACUUGUUCUUGCUAUUUCAAAAGGUGUAUUUAAGAAUCAUAUGUGCUUCAAAAAGUACACCCUCAAUAAGUAUUCCAAAAAUGUUCACCCCUCCUUUCCCUUUCAGGCGUUGCUUAGAGAUCAUUUUGGCGUGGAAUGCAAGUCAAAUUUCUCAGUAGUGUUUCUCCAGUUUAGGGUGUUUCAAUUUGGUAUCAAAGCCUAGGUUAAAGGCCACUCCGGUUCUGUCCCAGAGGGUUAGUAGUGUUUGCUCGGAUCCUUAGUUGGAUAUAAAGAUUAGAUGGGUUCUAAUCUAAGAUCAUUCUAAUUUUAUCAAGUGCAGAGUUGGAUCACCAAUCGAUUUUGCGAGAGAGUUUUCAAAUGAAGUUCAUGAGUCCAUCAUUAUGCCAGAGCUUAUAGACGCAAGAAGGAAGUCUAGAGAGUAAAGUGAAUGAUUGUUGUUAGUAUUUGAGCAUGGCAAGGUCAUCGUCCUUGGGAUGUCAUGAUCGGAGAUUAAAAAGAAAGACGCUCCAAGGUAUAGUCGAUAACCAAGUAGGGGAGAACGACUCCGCAAAUUCGAGGAAAAUGUUAUUUCAAGUGGAGGAGUUUAUAACAUCCGAAGAAUAGGAUUUUGGCCCAAUUUGUUUUUUCAACCCGAUUAAUAAAAGUUUAUCAGAAAAACUAUUAAGCCUAACUUCCUUAUUUACCUCUCUAAAAUACUAAAUCUAGAAGUCUCUCCUCUGUUCUCUAUAAAUAGAGGAGUCACGGCUUAGGAGAGAUCAUAGAGCUAUCUGGUAGCAACGCACCUUGAAGGAGAAGCCAUUGUAGCCAUCUAUGAAGCAGAUCCGACCUGUUAUGCCUUAAGAGAGAACAGACAGGCAAAUUGGAUCAGAUCAGCCUGAAAAUUGGUAUGCAUUUUUGCUACUCUCAGAUCUAGCUAUAGCCGCUAGAAUAUCUUUAUUUGGAGUUAUAGUUUGAAAUUUAUGUAUGUUUUCUCGAAGCAGAUCCGCAAAGAUCGGAUUCACAAGAAGCCAACUUGGGAAGCUUUUUGUCGGCGAUCUAGAAAGUUCCAGAAUGCGAUCUACAUAGUGCUGUGAAGCCCGUAAACCCAGAUUUCCAGAUCUACCUUUAGAUUUACAUUCCGAUGUACGGCCAUUGAGUUGUGGCUGUUUCUUUCUGGUGAAAUUUUCAUCCUUCCAAAACCAUAAUUCUAUUUUGGAGAAGUUUCUUUUUCCGAGAAUUUCCAGUUAUAGAAAGUCUAUUUAUGACACGUCUAUUUAUGGUAAGUCUGUUUAUGGAAAUUUUUUUUCCAAUCGCAGUUCACCAAAAAGGUGUUUCUCAAAUCGCAACCCUUUUGACCGUUAUUUCUCCAACUUUUAGAUUAAGGUGAUAUAUUAGAUGAAUUAGUAAUACUUGUAUGCUUUGUAUAGGGAUUAGAUAUAAUUGAUAAUUGUUGAUUGACAAUUGAUAGUUGAUAGGUGAUAGUUGAUGUAUAAGGAGUAAUUAUUAAGAUAUGUGAGUUGAUAGUUGACUUAUUUUGCCUUUCUUUAUUUUUAAUAUUUGAUUUAUUUAAUUACAAAAAAUCAAAAUUAUCGUUUAUUCUUCCUCCUCUAGCGUGCAGUUUUAAAUAUUUUUCUAAUCGAUGACAAUUAAAAAAGAAAGGCUUAAUCUAAUCUCUUGAUCGGCUUAGUUCACUCUUAAUUCCCAUCUAUUUGGAAAAUUAAAUUUGAUUAUCCUUCUUUGCUUUAUGGAUUUUGAGUCACACAAUUCUUUUUCUCGGGAUUACUUGUUCUCUUUUCUUUUAACAUCUACUUCAAUACAACAAUUGAAGAACAUCUUGAUAGUUUCUGGCGAAACCGAUGAAGCUCCGACAAAUUUGUAGCUGGUGAAAACAGAUACUUGGUAUUAUAAAUAUAGGUGGAUCGGGUAAAUAUUUGGGACUUCCAUAACAAUUUGGCAGGAAGAAGAUAGAAGUGUUUGACUAUGUUGUUAAAAAAGUGUGGGAUUCUGUUGCAGGAUGGUAUAAUCAAUUUCUUUCUCCAGCAGGAAAAGAGGUAUUGAUCAAAUCAAUUCUUCUUGCGAAACUUACAUAUACCAUGAACUGUUUUUUUGCUCCAAUUGGUAACCAUUAAAGGAAUAAUAGGAAUGAAUCGAAAACGAAUGAAGAUGAAUUAAAUAAUGGUAAUGUCUUUUCCUUAUUGUUCCUUAUCAAAUUUAGUGAGGAAUAUUUUUGUUCUAUCAUUCCCUAAAAAUGAAGGAAUGACAAGGAGUAGUAUGUAAAAAAUAUUCCUCUUAAAUGGUGUAUUCUUUUAGGAAUGAAGAGGAAUUUAUAAAAAUAAAUAAAAAUGGUGUAUUUUUAAGGAAUGAAGAGGAAUUUCAUUAUUCCUUUCCAUUCCUUGGUCACCAAUUAGAGCCUUUAUUACCAAAAACCACUUGUGAAGAAAUUAAUAACAUACUUUCUGAAUUUUGGUGGGGAACAGAUGAUGGUAAAAAGAAAAUAUCCUGGAUAUCUUGGGAAAGAUUAUCUUUACCUAAAAGUGUAGGUGGGAUGGGAUUUAGAGACCUUCAAAGUUUCAAUGAAGCCCUUCUAGGUAAACAAGCUUGGCGUUUAUAAAGAAACCCAUCAUCCUUAUUAGCUAGGUUGUACAAGGGACGUUAUCAUAACACGACGAAAUUCUUACAGUCGUAUGGAGGACAGCCCUCAUACGGAUAUAAAUCGAUUCAAGCAGACUGCUUAAGAAAGGAUUAAGAGCUCAACUGGGUGAUGGUCUAUGGACAAAUGUGUGGACAUAGUAUUGGCUGCCUACAGAACAUCUAAGACUUGCUCGAGGUAAUUCUAAUUGUCCAAAUCUUAUGGUUUGAGAUUUAUGAAAACAGGGAUUAAGAGAAUAGGGUUUGACGAAACUUGAAAAUGUCUUGCAUCCGGAUGAUGCUGAUUUGGCAAAACUGGUUAUUCUCUCUAAGUAUGCUCAAAAGGACCAGUUGAUUUGGGCUUAUAAUAAAAAUGCAGAAUAUACUGUCAAAUCAGGUUAUUGGUUUGCUACUCAUUUAAAAGAAGCAGAACAGAUCAUUCCACCAGCAGGGAAUCUGGAGUUGAAGAAUAACAUUUUGGCGUUUGGAUAUUAUGCCUAAGAUCAAACAAUUUUUAUGGCGCAUUAUAUCUGGAGCUCUCCCAAAAGCGGACCGUCUUAUUUCCAGACAUGUAAAGAUUAGUCCUACUUGCAAUAGAUGUUGUUUGGAUGAUGAGACAAUUAAUCAUAUCCUAUUUGACUGUCAGCAUGCUAAUUGGCAAAAUGGUAAUAAUGCUACAAGUAUUGGUUGGAUCAUUGAUAACACUGUAUUUUGACCACUUUUAUAGAUCGUUUUGAAAUAUUUUUUCUAUGUUUUUUAUUGCUUUCAAGUACUUUUAUUACGUUUUUGUAGUAUUUGUAGUUUCAAGACUCUUUUCAGGAAACUGAGGGAAAAGUUUAGCAAAAUGGAUAUAAUAUCAGAUUUUUAGCUCUGAGUCAAACCGUCAGAAGUUCACCCCCGAUUGAAGGCCUUCUCACCGUCUGAUCCAGCUCAAAUUUGGAGAUCUCAAAGAUGGAAGUAUCAGCUUUCCAGCACACUUUACAGCUUGGCAAUCCAACGGUUCAAUCAAAUGAUACGCGAAGAGCAAGAUGUCCCGUAAACCAGGCAGAAGCAUUUCCACCCGCGGCCACCAGCCUAUUUCCCGCGGUCACAAGCCUCCCAACCGCGGCCAGCCAUCCAUUUGCCGCGGUCACGCACAUCCCGACCGCAGCCAGCUAACUCCGAAUUCGAAGGCCCAUUUCUGAAGCCCAAAAUGAUUCUUUCAUUUGGAGAAACCCUAAGUGACGCCCAGAGAUGUCUUGAGCACUAUAAAUACAUGUCUUCGGAACCCUAAUUCCUAUCAUCAUCACCCUUUACACCAUCUUGUUUUCUUAUUGUUUUAUACUUUAGCUUUUAGGGAGAGAGAGAUCUAUCUCUUGAGCCCUUGUUCUUUCUUUUUCAAUUUCGGUUUCUGUACUACUUUUUAAUACUAUGUUUUUGAUUUCGUUUAUCAUGUCUGAGUAGUUUUAUUGUUGGGUCUAAGAGAUUUUCGAUGGGGAUAUAUAUGUUCGAUGAGGAUUCCAUGAGCUAUUGAGCCGAAUCUUAGAACUUUUUCUUCUGAAUUCGUUUUUACUACAUGAGGGUACCGUCAUGAACUACAAUCUGAUCCAGAUGCUUGGUGACACGAAAGUGUUCAUCCGGUGUCAUAUCUAGUUUGGGAGAGAAAAACAAACAUAGGAGUGGAAACCUACCUAUGGGCGAUUUGUGAAUGUUGACGAGUCUUAAACAUAAUGCACCUCUUCUUUUCCAAGGCUAGAGUGGAAACCUACUGGUCAGGGUUGAGAGAGAUAGUUGUCUAUGAUCACGACAAUGGCGUAUUCAUACGUCCGUGACUCCAGUUCGAAAAGUUUAAGCUAAGAUCUUAUCAAAUUUACUCUCUAGCAAUGUAUUGAAUCGUUCAUACCCCUGAGAAAACUUCCCAGAACCCCAGCGCCUUCUUUUCUAUAGAUUUACACCGAUUUUUAUUCAAGCUUUAGUCUAGUAUCUUUACUCUUUCAAUCGAUUUUUAUUUAAGCAAUUAGGUUUAGCCGAUUUUCCGUUUUUACUCGUUUUCGUUAAGUUUAGUUAUUAGGUAAUUUUAAUUCCCGUAUUUUCUCUUUAAGAUUAGUUUUUCGUUUUAAAGACACCACCAAAACCCUCACAAAAAUCGCCUGGUUCUAGAUUUUCUUACUUUAUAUUUCUUUCGAAGGCUUUUGUAGAAAUGAUCCUCCUUCCCUGUGGAUUCGAUCCCUAAUUACUACAAUUGAUCAGCUGUGCACUUGCGGCUAUUGAUUUCAUUUAGGGUAAAACUUGACAACCCUCGACACACACCACAUCAAGUUUUUGGCGCCGUUGCCGGGGAAGGCACGCGUUUUCUUUUCCGCAAAACCCUAAGAAAGGUUGGUAAAUCGACUCUAGAACCCCUUUUCUGCAUAUUUCCAUUUUUUCGGUUAUUUUGUUUCCAUUCCCGAAGCAAUGGAUCCUAUAAAUCGAAAUCCCUACUAUGAGGGAGGUUUGUACAACACUCCUCAAGCCACCAGAUGCAGAGAAGAACACCAAGCCUGAGAUCUUAGCUACAUGGAUCAAUACAGCCAGCCAAAUCAUUCAUACCACCGGCGCAGAAAGCCUGUUCGACGCCGGGAAGAUCCUUAUGGUCCUCCUCCGACAUAUUUCGAGCCACACGCCUAUCAUCCUCCACCCCAGAACCCUAAUCAUCAAGCGGACAACUUGAGGAUCAGCAGACGUUUGGAACGUCUCGAAGGAAUGAUAAACCAGUUCCUUGAUCAGCAGAUUCUUAUCGAAAACACACUGCUCAAGAGAAUUGAUUCAAUCUCUGAAGAGUUCAACAGAAAAUUCGAUGAUCUGGCCAAUCAUGUUCGAGUUCUGGAAGAACAAACCCACAAGGACGCACAAACACUAGCUGGGAUGAUCAUACAAGUCGCAGCAGAGCAAACAAGACAAGGGUAUGAUAUCAUACAAAACUCAAGUGAUAUUGUUGAAUCAAAGCAGGAGAUCAAAGAAGUCAGAGAAUCUGCCUCCUGGUAUAGAGAGAAGACAGACGAAGAGUUGCAAGAGAUCGAGCACAUGCUGUACAAACUCGAGCUCAAGGCACGGGAGAUUGAUGCAAGAAUGGAACAGAUGCCCAACAUUGAGCAAAUUGUGAGAUUUUCUAAGAAAUCUCCCAAAAAUCCUGAUGAAGAUGCACAACAACACCAUGGUAUGAGUUCAGACGAUGCUAGUCUACCAAAGAAAGAAGCUGAAGAGGUUCGCACCGAGUACAAGAAGGAAAUAGCAGACUACAGGCGAAUCACGUCCAGGGUCGCGGGUCCGUCCAUCCUGACUGCGGCCAAAGUCCCUUUUCCUGCGGUCGCGAGACCUCUGACCGGGGGAAUUGGUCGUUCAGAUUCGCCUCCGGGAUUUGAAAGAAAGAUAAUACAUCUUCUAUCCCAAUUUCAACAUCCAUCACCUAAAAAGGCAACUCAGGAAGAAAGACACCAAAUUUCAGAUGAAGAAACGGAUUGGCAGGAAUCAUUACCUUGUAUGAUGGCCAUGGAAUGUGUUGAGGACUUAGAUGACUCUUCAAUCCAAGACGACCUGCAAUGCAGUAAGAUAAAGAUGCCAUACAUCAAUUCAAUCAUUGAAUACGAUGCUGCAACUUUCUUUUGUGAGUCCUAUUCUGCGUUUGAAACACCAGCCAAUGCUAACAGAGAUAGGCAAGUUCGAACUCUCCAUAUAUAAGGUCAAGACUGCAGGUCAGUUUCUCAUCUUUUGUUCUAUUAGAGGAGAAAUGUGUAAAAACGUGCUUUGUGAUUCUGGAGCUUGUCUUAACAUGAUGUCCAAGGCAAUGGCUUUGAGACUUGGUAUUAAGCACCUGCGCAGGACUAGAGCAAGGAUUAGUCAAGCUGAUGAUUCCAAUGCAACACCUCAAGGAAUAGCUCAUGACAUUCCUUUGAGAAUAGGAGAUUGCAUUGUGCCUGUAGACUUCUACAUUGUCGAAACAAAAUAUGCAACACAUCCAGUAAUUCUCAGAUGGUCUUUUCUAGCAACUUUCCAGAGCUAUAAUGGACUGCCCAAACCGGAGUAUUUCAUUAGCUAAUAUCGACAAAGAUGUCUUCACAGAAGCUGUCCCAUACAACAGCAAACCAGGAAAACGUUCUGCAACAAAAGAGUUUGAAGAUGAACUUUGGAGUGACGAAGAACCUACUAGGCAAAGCAAGGAGAUGUCGAAAAGACUUGUCUCAGUACAAGAUCUUCUUCAUUGGACUAAGCCACGUCCAACACCAAAGUCGAGCUAAACGACUUAAAACAAAAGCGCUUAAUGGGAGGCAACCCAUUUAGGUAUUGUUUUCUUUAGGAUUUUUCUUUCUUUUUCUAUUGAUCCUUUUCUUUUUCUUAGUUUCAGGUGUUUCUCAUAAAUCAAAAAAGCCAAAAAAAUCAAAAAACCGAAAAAACCAAAAAGAAGGAUGGUACCUGACUGUUCGGCCCAGCAGGAACCAAAGAUAAGCAGGAAACAGGCCGCAUUUAAGCCCCCGCGGUCGCAGGUGUUCUGACCGCGGGAAACACCUAUUCGACCGCGGCCGCGUCUUUCUGACCGCGGCCAAUCACCGGUUUGCCGCGGUCGCCUGACUCCUGACCGCGGCAAAUGGUUGUUGAGAUGAUACCCGACCCCAAAAACUCACUACACCUCAUUCCACCUCACCAAGCCCCACUCCACCUCAUUCAUCACUUCCCACCACCUUCCAUCACCACCUAUCACCUUCUCAAAUCUCUUCGAAUGAAUCCAGUCAAUCUCCACCAGCAUCCCGGAUCCAGGUAAGUUCUCUUUGGCCUUACCAAUUCGAUUAUCUAUGCAUUUUUUCUCAUCCAAUCUCGACUUGUUUCACACUGAGGACAGUGUAAUUUAAGUCUGGGGGAGGAUUUCAUCCCUUUCUAAUUUCUUUCAUGAGUCUUGCAUUAUCUACACUUUUUGCAUUUUCCUUAAAGUUUUUCAAAAUCGAUUUUUAAAACAAAAUACGUUUUAAAGGGAAUGGUGAACAUGAAUCAAUGAUAGUUGUCUGUGUGCUUUUAGACUGUUCCUAGUGACAUGCUCAUUCAUGAUUUAGGACUAAACUAGGCGAUAGCUAAGCACAUAAGAAACGAAGUACCCUAGAGGAAUUUGAAUGAUUUCGAUUUAGAUGAAAGAAUAUACUAGCUCUGUUUUAUUUGGACUUAACUUGGACUUAAUUCUCUCAUUGAAGCAUUAGACCAGGGAAACGAAUCAUACAUUCAGGACUCCUUUAUCCUUUUUAACCACUCUCUGUUGAUCCUGAAUGGCUAGAUCAUCUUUAGCUAGUUUCCCACCUUAACUAAUCCUCUUUCAAACCACAUCCACUCUUGUUUUCUAUUGUCUUAUAUGCAAAUAUGUGUAAAAACGUUGGAGAGAAAGAGGAACGACGCAGUUUUCAGUCACCAAAGACAGAGGCCUGCGAUUUGCCGGAAAACUUCCCGGAAGGAUUCAACACAUGAGAAUGCUCAGUUUGCCUUAGAAAAAUCUCAAAUUUUGGUACAAUCUCGUCCUAGUCUUUCUCUCUUUAAAAGGCACUCCCUUUCCAAAAAACAAAAAAAAAUCCGAAAAUAGGAAAAGAAAGGAGAUAAAAGCCUUAGAGAGUCUAGAGAGUUCAAAUUUUAAGUCCCAAGGCAACUGGAGUUCGAUUUUAUGGAGUUUUGGAAAUCAUUUUCUGAUUCCUGGAAAGAAUCUAAGUCUGGGGGAGUAGCUGUUCACAACAAAGGAGGAAGGAUUAUGCAACAACAUUUGGCAAGAAGAAGUGACUGAAAAUUUUGGUCAUCAACAGGUCCUUAUCUCUCUUGCGGUUUUGCAUAUUAUCUUGCAUCAUCCAGAUUCAUCAGGUAACCUGAAACACUUUAACUCCACCACUUAAACAGCCCUUUAAUGCCAAACGCCGUCUACCCUGGAUGAUGUCUUUAAUGAGAAUUCACUAUUGCACUUAAUGAAUGUAGAGAGCUAGUUGAUUGGAAUCAAGAUUAAAAUUAUUUAAGUUUUGCAUGACGGAAAAAGUGGACUAGUAUCUUUGGUGUCUUGGUGAGAAUUUUCUAGACUAAGUUGUGGAUUGAUGCACGAUCUUUGGUCCUAGUUUAGGAGUUCAUGUCUCUGAGAUUUGUGCAUUUCCUAUUUUUUUCUUCACUUAACUAGUUUAGACUUUUGCUUUGUUUGAGGACAAACAAAGGUUUAAGUCUAGGGGAGUUGAUAACACUGUAUAUGGACCACUUUUAUGGAUCAUUUUGAAAUACCUUUUCUAUGUUUUUUAUUGCUUUCAAGUACUUUUAUUACAUUUUUCUAGUAUUUGUAUAGUUCCAAGACUAUUUUUAGGAAACUUAGGGAAAAACUUAGCAAAAUGGAUAGAAGAUCAGAUUUUUAGCUCAGAGUCAAACCGUCUGAAGUUCCCCCCUGAUUGAAGGCCUUCUCACCGUGAUCCAGCACAAAUAUGGAGAUCUCAACGAUGGAAGUAUCAGCUUUCCAGCACACUUUACAGCUUGGCAAUCCAACGGUUCAAUCAAAAGAUACGCGAAGAGCAAGAUGUCCCGUAAACCAGCCAGAAGCAUUUCCACCCGCGGCCACCAGCCUAUUUCCCGCGGUCACAAGCCUCCCAACCGCGGCCAGCCAUCCAUUUGCCGCGGUCACGCAUAUCCCGACCACGGACAGCUUACUCCGAAUUCGAAGGCCCAUUUCUGAAGCCCAAAAUGAUUCCCUCUUUUGGAGAAACCCUAAGUGACGCCCAGAGAUGUCUUGAGCACUAUAAAUACAUGUCUUAGGAACCCUAAUUCCUAUCAUCAUCACCCUUUACACCAUCUUGUUUUCUUAUUGUUUUAUACUUUAGCUUUUAGGGAGAGAGAGAUCUAUCUCUUGAGCCCUUGUUCUUUCUUUUUCAAUUUCGGUUUCUGUACUACUUUUUAAUACUAUGUUUUUGAUUUCGUUUAUCAUGUCUGAGUAGUUUUAUUGUUGGGUCUAAGAGAUUUUCGAUGGGGAUAUAUAUGUUCGAUGAGGAUUCCAUGAGCUAUUGAGCCGAAUCUUAGAACUUUUUCUUCUGAAUUCGUUUUUACUACAUGAGGGUACCGUCAUGAACUACAAUCUGAUCCAGAUGCUUGGUGACACGAAAGUGUUCAUCCGGUGUCAUAUCUAGUUUGGGAGAGAAAAACAAACAUAGGAGUGGAAACCUACCUAUGGGCGAUUUGUGAAUGUUGACGAGUCUUAAACAUAAUGCACCUCUUCUUUUCCAGACUAGAGUGGAAACCUACUGGUCAGGGUUGAGAGAGAUAGUUGUCUAUGAUCACGACAAUGGCGUAUUCAUACGUCCGUGACUCCAGUUCGAAAACUUCAAGCUAAGAUCUUAUCAAAUUUACUCUCUAGCAAUGUUUUGAAUCGUUCAUACCCCUGAGAAAACUUCCCUGAACCCCAGCACCUUCUUUUCUAUAGAUUUACACCGAUUUUUAUACAAGCUUUAGGCUAGUAUCUUUACUCUUUCAAUCGAUUUUUAUUUAAGCAAUUAGGUUUAGCCGAUUUUCCGUUUUUACUCGUUUUAGUUAAGUUUAGUUAUUAGGUCAUUUUAAUUCCCGUAUUUUCUCUUUAAGAUUAGUUUUUCGUUUUAAAGACACCACCAAAACCCUCACAAAAAUCGCCUGGUUCUAGAUUUUCUUACUUUAUAUUUCUUUCGAAGGCUUUUGUAGAAAUGAUCCUCCUUCCCUGUGGAUUCGAUCCCUAAUUACUACAAUUGAUCAGCUGUGCACUUGCGGCUAUUGAUUUCAUUUAGGGUAAAACUUGACAACCCUCGACACACACCACAUCAAGUUUUUGGCGCCGUUGCCGGGGAAGGCACGCGUUUUCUUUUCCGCAAAACCCUAAGAAAGGUUGGUAAAUCGACUCUAGAACCCCUUUUCUGCAUAUUUCCAUUUUUUCGGUUAUUUUCGUUCCAUUCCCGAAGCAAUGGAUCCUAUAAAUCGAAAUCCCUACUAUGAGGGAGGUUUGUACAACACUCCUCAAGCCACCAGAUGCAGAGAAGAACACCAAGCCUGAGAUCUUAGCUACAUGGAUCAAUACAGCCAGCCAAAUCAUUCAUACCACCGGCACAGAAAGCCUGUUCGACGCCGGGAAGAUCCUUAUGGUCCUCCUCCGACAUAUUUCGAGCCACACGCCUAUCAUCCUCCACCGCAGAACCCUAAUCAUCAAGCGGACAACUUGAGGAUCAGCAGACGUUUGGAACGUCUCGAAGGAAUGAUAAACCAGUUCCUUGAUCAGCAGAUUCUUAUCGAAAACACACUGCUCAAGAGAAUUGAUUCAAUCUCUGAAGAGUUCAACAGAAAAUUCGAUGAUCUGGCCAAUCAUGUUCGAGUUCUGGAAGAACAAACCCACAAGGACGCACAAACACUAGCUGGGAUGAUCAUACAAGUCGCAGCAGAGCAAACAAGACAAGGGUAUGAUAUCAUACAAAACUCAAGUGAUAUUGUUGAAUCAAAGCAGGAGAUCAAAGAAGUCAGAGAAUCUGCCUCCUGGUAUAGAGAGAAGACAGACGAAGAGUUGCAAGAGAUCGAGCACAUGCUGUACAAACUCGAGCUCAAGGCACGGGAGAUUGAUGCAAGAAUGGAACAGAUGCCCAACAUUGAGCAAAUUGUGAGAUUUUCUAAGAAAUCUCCCAAAAAUCCUGAUGAAGAUGCACAACAACACCAUGGUAUGAGUUCAGACGAUGCUAGUCUACCAAAGAAAGAAGCUGAAGAGGUUCGCACCGAGUACAAGAAGGAAAUAGCAGACUACGGGCGAAUCACGUCCAGGGUCGCGGGUCCGUCCAUCCUGACUGCGGCCAAAGUCCCUUUUCCUGCGGUCGCGAGACCUCUGACCGGGGGAAUUGGUCGUUCAGAUUCGCCUCCGGGAUUUGAAAGAAAGAUAAUACAUCUUCUGUCCCAACUUCAACCUCCAACACCUAAAAAGGCAACUCAGGAAGAAAGACACCAUAUUUCAGAUGAAGAAACGGAUUGGCAGGAAUCAUUACCUUGUAUGAUGGCCAUGGAAUGUGUUGAGGACUUAGAUGACUCUUCAAUCCAAGAAGACCCGCAAUGCAGUAAGAUAAAGAUGCCAUACAUCAAUUCAAUCAUUGAAUACGAUGCUGCAACUUUCUUUUGUGAGUCCUAUUAUGCGUUUGAAACACCAGCCAAUGCUAACAGAGAUAGGCAAGUUCGAACUCUCCAUAUAUAAGGUCAAGACUGCAGGUCAGUUUCUCAUCUCUUGUUCUAUUAGAAGAGAAAUGUUUAAAAACGUGCUUUGUGAUUCUGGAGCUUGUCUUAACAUGAUGUCCAAGGUAAUUGCUUUGAGACUUGGUUCAUUUACUCUGUUCCAAUGAAUUUUUGUUCUUCAGGAACAUUAAUUUUUGUGGAGCACUUUCAAGUUUUAGGAACUUCAAGUUUGAAAUAUUUUGUAUGGAAGAUUCGAUAGCACUUUUUUUUAGAAAUUCAUCAAAUCUGAGCUUUUCUAUAUGUUAGAUCCUGCUGUGAUAUUUUGAGAUGAGAUGUCUAAUUGGAAUACUUGCAAAACAAAGUGAACAUAAUUUUUCUUUCUAAAUGACAUCAUAUCUUGACUAAAUCAAGGAUCACUUUAUUUGAUCCAUCUAUCGGUUAAUCUUAACUAAAAUUAUUUUACCAGCUCAUGAACGAUUCAUCAGACUUGAGCCAGGAAUAAAGGACUUAUUGGAGUUCCUUGCUGGGAAGUUUGUAAAGAAUUUAUUAAAAUCAUCAAGUAGAGUUUCCGGGAACGUAAUUAUGAUAUCAUUAAUCAUUCUAAGAUUAUUUUAUUCGCAAUUCAAGUUGAUUAUUUUCUGCCAGACUUGAUAUUACUUUUAAUGUUUGGACUGCUGGUCCAAAAAUCCCUCAUUUUUUAUAUGAGCUUAACAUAAACUUGAUUGCCUCUUUUCACUUUUUGGCCAAUAAUUGCACUUUCUACACUCAUCACAGAGGUAGAUUUUUGAUCCUAAUUCAUAUUAAACUGCGUGUUAUCUUAUUUAUUGUCGACAUUUAUAUUUUUGGUUCCACUUUUUCGUAAUGACAUGGUUAAUCGAGAUCUCUUUUUCAAUAAUAUCAUUCAGGUACCUGAUUUUAUUAUUAACCCUAUCAACGGGUCUCUUCAGGAGAUUCAUCCUCUUUUCAACAUAUAUUUGCUCCUUUCCUUUUGAGGAAUUUAUAUUUGGAACCAAAGUAGUCUAUCACAUUUCAUAAGUGACAUAGACUCUUUAUUGAUAAAUCAUCAUUCAAUGACAUAUUCUUGGAGCAUUUUGAGCUAGAGUUGAGAUUUUCUUUCAUUGUAUGUCUGGCAUUUACAUAUAAAUUAUCCUUUGAACUUCGGGUUCAAAAUUAUUUAUACGAGGAUCCAUAAUGAUAUUUCAUUUCAAAAACUCAUUGAUUAGCUCUUCCAUACCAAAACAUAGAGAAAUUUCACCAUUGUUGAUCUUGCAAUCUUCUGGAUCGCUUUAUAAAUUAUCCAAAAAACUCAUUUCAAGUGUGAACAUAAUCUUCUGGAUGUUGGACUAUUUUUGAUAUUGGAUUCUUUAAUUCUCCCCCUCGAGAUGAUGAUAUUUCACGUUCAUCCAUCUUGAAAUGAAUCCAACUUUAUGACCAAAACAAAUCCAAAUAACCCAUCUUUGAGCCUUGUAUUAUGUAUCAAAUCCUUUAGUGGACUCUUAAUACCCCUGUGAUGAUGGUUUUUUUUUGUCCAGUCAUCUUGAACUCAUUUUCAGUUACUCAGGUAUAAUUUGGGAACUGCUUAAAGAAAUCCAACCAUCAUAUCUAAUAAUCGUUCAACCAAAAAUGGUGAUUUAUCUCCCAUGAUGGUUUCAAGAUAUGCUAUGUGCAAAAAACUUCGAGUUUUUUUCACAUAAAUUCUCAAUACCAUUAUUACACCGGAAUGGCUUAAACCGGUUCUGUUAUAUACUAGUAAACUUCAGGUUUACUAUCUUAAACAAUUUGUCAUCUUUAUGCAUGUCAGCAUCAUAUAUUUUUUAUAGCAUUUCGUUCUGCGUUUUGUUCUUCUGAAACGGUUCAUUCUUUUAGAACGUAUUGUUUUUCUUUUCUACAUCUGAAACAUCUAUCUCUUCUGGAGCGUUUUUCUCAUCGGGAGCAUUUUUUUCUUCCAGAACGUUUGUCUCAACUAAAAUAUCUAGCUCUUUUGGAGCUUCUAACUCUCCUAGAGUUUUUAAUUCAUGACACUUCCGCAGCUUCUAAUUCUUCCAGAACUUUUAACUUUUGAAAUUUCUGGAGCUUUUUAAGUCAUGAAGCUUCCGAAACUUUUUGCUCUUCAGGAGAUUUUUAACUUUUGUUAAUUUUCAGAACUUUUUAACUAUUCUAGAGAUUUUAUUUUCUAGAGCUCUUUAACUCUUUCGGAAGUUCUGAUUUUUAAAAAUAUGUUUCAACGUCUUUAAUCAUAUUGUAAUCGGUAAAAUAAAUUAAAUAGUUAGACAUAAAUAAAUAACAAAAAAGAAAUUUAAUAACUAUAAUGCAAAACAGUUAGUAUAGUCGUCUUCUGGACAAAAGUUAUUAAACAGUUCUUCAGGAACGUUGUCAUCUAUAUCUUCUGGAUACAUUUUUCAGAUAGAUUUUCAAAAAAAAUUCUAUAUGUUUUCGGGACAUUUUUUUUCAAGUAUAUCUUCUGGACAUAAUAUGUUUUUCUUAGUUCUUCAGGAACUUUUCUUAAAUGUCUUCGAGAUAUUUAUUAUAUGGAUGUAAUGAUCUGAGGAGACAACUACCAUAUGACCAUAAACCAACCAUAUAUUUGAUCUGAAGAGACAUAGUCUACCAUAUGAACAUAAUGAUCGUGAAGGUAUAACUUACCAUUGAUAACACCUAAUUUUGACCAAUUUCAAAUGCUUUUUCAAAUGUUUUACUUUGUUUUAGGAACUUUUAUUAUGAUUUCCAUGUAUUUGUAGUUUCAAGACUCUUUUCAGGAAACUUAGGGAAUAUGAUGGCAAAAUGGAAGAAAUCCACAUUUUUAGCUCAAAGUCAGACCGUCAGAAGUUCAGCCUCAAAUGAAGACUUUCUCACCGUCCGAUCUAGCUCAAAUUUGGAGAAAUUCAAGAGGAGACAACCAGCUUUCCAUAGCACUUUACAUCACAAAAAUCAAACAAUCAUAUAUAUUGAUUAUGAUUUCUAUUGUUCUUAGCCAUAUUCUGGAUCUCAUCUCUUCUAAGUUAUUCGUAAAGCAUGAGAGUAGAUUCAUGACCUAUUCUCUGAGCCUAGGAUCGAUCAGAGCCACGAGAGUGCUGUAUCAGAUCAUCCGUACCUAGCUUCAGAAGAACAUAGUCACUAUAGGAGUCGAAAGUUACCUAUAGAGAAGAUGUGAGCAAACGAAUUCAAUGUCCAAUGCAUGAUCUUAAGUUUAGCAUGAGAGCGAGAGUUAGUUGCUAGAUCUAAGAGAUUAGUUGAUUAAGGUGACGACAGUUGGUUAAUCAUACAUGUGUCUAUUAUAUUUCAAUGCAGAUUCCCAGAAACAGAUGAAGAUAAAUCGCCCGGAAGCUAAUUGGAAAUGCCACCACACAUCGAUUAGAGUAAAUCGGAGAAGUCUAAAUCGCCACCUAUGAGUUUAAGAGUCUUUAGUUUGAGUCGAUAUGCUUUAGAUGUUCUUUUAACAAUUCAUCCUGCAUUGCAUUUCUUGUGAAUAUUAGAUUAAGUUUAGUUUAGGAUCUUAACCAAAAAACCCCAAAUCUUUUAUUGGUUUAUGAGUUUGCUUACUUCCCAAUUUGUUGUUUCUUGCAGAUUAGACAUCCUCCCUGUGGAUCGACAUCCUAAGUCCUACAACGUACAUCUGUGCACUUGUAGACACUAGGGUUUUAUAAAUUUAAAACUUUUGGAGGACCAACGGGCUUGUUAAAAAACAACCCUAGGCCCGCAAUCCCAUCAAGUUUUUAGUGCCGUUGCCGGGGAGGCAUGAAGUCGCUGGAGGUCUAAACCUGAAAGGUUGAAGCCGCAGACAACUUUAUAUAUGUCGAGUUUCUUCCAAAGCAACAUAGGAAGUAAACCAAAUUCAUAAACACCCUAACUUUUUCUUUUUCUGCUUAUUCUUUUUUCUGUUUGCCCUAGUUUCAGAAACCUUUGAUGCAUGGAUCAUUCAAGGAGAAACCCUAACCCCGAGCGAAGGUCCUACGACCUGUGUGAAGCUCCCUGCGCAUGUGAAUCACCCUCAAGGCGUGAUUUUGAUCAUCAUCUUCAGAACCCUAAUCCGAACCACCACCAUGGAGACUCGCGACCUCCACACCACCGAGAUGAGCCCUAGUCGCCAUACCUGGUGAACCGUCGACCAUCUCAUCCUCUUCCUCAUCAGAUUCUGCACCAAAAUGCUGAGGCUGAUCGAUUUAGGCUCCAACUAGAUCGAUUAGACACUACACUGAAUGAGUUUCUUGAUCUACAAGCCAUUGCUGAAUCUAACCUUUGUGUGAAAUUGGAAUCAAUGUCCUCUGAUUUUAGCAGGAGGUUCGAGUGUCUCUCUGACCGAAUGAAGAAUCUAGAAACGCAAAAGCUCAAAGAUGAUGCAGUUCUAGAGAAGAGACUUAAAGACAUCGAAGAAGGCGAGGCUAAGAACACCAUUGCCCUUCGCCAAGCACUUAAGGAGCAGAGAGGCUGCAAUGUCCUAAUUGAAGAUUUGGAGAGAGAUUUCAAAGAUAGCAAGUGGUACUCUGAUGGAGACAAUAUAGAGAUGAGUGAAGAGAUGGAAAAGAUCACAAACAAGACAGAAGAGCUUGAUGCUACUUCAAACAAAGUUGUCUAUGCUUUGGAUGAAGUAGAAGAGAAAGUUGAAAAACUUUCUAAAGAUCAUAAGGAGUGUGAUCUGAACUCUGGAAUCAAUGAUUUGGAUACCCAAGACGAGCCUGACAACCACUGGAAACAAGAGAACAACAAUGGAGAAGAAGAAAUUGAAGAAGCAAGCAUGGAGAGCCGAAGGGAGCUGACCGCGGCUGCGAGCUCCUCACCCGCGGCCAGAGCCAUUCCCACCGUGGCCCCAAGCUCCUCACCUGCGGCCAGAGCCAUUCCCACCAUGGCCCCGAGCUCCUCACCCUUAGACUGGGAGAGUUUUCAACCUCUUUCUGAAGCCUGUUCAUCAGAAAACCGACCUCAUGUGACCAGAACUAGGUUGUUUGAUCAAGCAGUCUUCUCAAUCACUGCACAAGCAUCAAAGGAAAAGGAAGAAUCCAACACUUAUGCAUCUUGCAACAUGGUUUACACUUGUGACAAUGAACUUCAAGACCAAUAACCAAGAGCAUAUCCAGAGAGAGACUGAUCGAAUUCAACAAGUUUGUGAAGUCCAUUCCUCUCUUUCUCGCAUUCGAUGAUGUCUGGAAGCAAGACUGCCUUCAAGUCUUCUUUAUAUACAGCAAGGAGACUAAGGAGAACAUCUCUACAUAUUUCAGAAGAUUCAGGUAUCUAUCUUUUCCUAGAUCAUCACCUGAUGCAGCUGUUUACAGGAUCCACCUCAAAGAUCCCCAAGAAGCCAAUGAUUACAUAAACAAGAUCAGCAAAGAAGCACUUGAAGAGUUCAACCGAGUAGUUCAGACCCUGCCAGAAGGAAUUUGUUUGCCAAAGCAUGUAGAGACUACAUGAUAGGCCACUUCUUUUGUGACAGCAAAGAGUCAAUCCAAGAUAUGAAAGACUUGGUCACACACGCCCAUGAAGGUAGACCAGUUCGAACUCUGCACAAAGUUCAAGACAAAUGUCAAUUUCUUAUCUCUUGUGACAUUAGAGGUGAAAGAUUCCUCAAUAUUUUUUGUGAUUCUGGAGCUUGCAUUAACAUGAUGUCCAAAGCAACUGCUUUGAGACUUGGCAUUAAGCACAUCUCAAGUACCAGGACAAAGAUUAGCUUAGCAGAUUAUUCAAGUGCAACACCAAGAUAGAUAGCCCGAGACAUUCAUCUAAGGAUUAGAGAUUGCAUUGCACCUGUCUAUUUAUACAUAGUGAAGACCAAAUAUGACUCUUAUCCAGUCUUUCUUGGAUGGCCUUUCUUAGCAACAGCCGGAGCCAUCAUGGAUUGGCCCAACAGGCGAGUUUCCUUUGACAAUAUCGACAAGGACAUCUUCUAUAAAGCUACACCACUUAAGAGCAAAAGAGGAGAGCCAAUAGCCCAGGCAUUUGAACCAGAAGAACUCUGGAGUGAUGAAGAACAUGCAAGACAGAACAUGAGGAUUUUGAAAAGGACUUGUCUUAAGACAAGAUCCUAUUUGAACUAAGUCUUUUUCUUUGCAAAGUCUAGCUAAAGACUAUAAACCAAAGCGCUUGAUGGGAGGCAACCCAUUUUAGGUACUUAUUUGUUUUUGUUUCAGCUUUCUUUUUUUAAAGUUUUGUUUCUAUUAUUUUAGACAUGCCUUAGUAUGCUAUAAAAAAGAAAAAAAAAGAAGAAAAGGAGCUGACUGAUAACACCGUAUUUUGACCAUUUUUAUGGAUCGUUUUGAAAUACUUUUUCUAUGUUUUUAAUUGCUUUUAAGUAUUUUUAUUACGUUUUUCUAGUAUUUGUAGUUCCAAGACUCUUUUCAGGUAACUUUGGGAAAAGCUUAACAAAAUGGAUAGAAAACCAUAUUUCAGCUCAGAGUCAAACCGUCAGAAGUUCACCCCCGAUUGAAGGCCUUCUCACCGUCUGAUCCAGCUCAAAUUUGGAGAUCUUAAAGAUGGAAGUACCAGCUUUCCAGCACACUUUUACAGCUUGGCAAUCCAACGGUUCAAUCAAAAGAUACGCGAAGAGCAAGCUGUCCCGUAAACCAGCCGGCAAGCGGUUCCACCCACGACCAACAGGCCAUUCCCCGCGGUCACAACCACCGCGACCGCGGCCAGCCACCCAUUCCCGACCGUGGCCAGCUAACUCCGACUUUGAAGGCCUAUUUCUGAAGCCCGUAUCAUUUUCCCAGCCUCAAUUCCGGAACCCUAGACAACAGAGAGUAUUGGAGACUAUAAAUACAUGUCAUUUAGGUCGUUUUUAAGAGAAUAAGAGAGACGAAAUACUUUACAGAAAUUUUACUUUAAGCUUUGUUUUUAGGGAAAGAGAGAUCUGUCUCUUGAACCCUUGUUCUUUCUUUUCAAUUUCGGUUUCUAUUCUACCUUUUAAUACUAUGUUUAUGACUUCGUUUAUUAUGUCUGAGUAGUUUUAUUGUUGGGUCUAAGGGAUUUUCGAUGGGGAUAUAUAUGUUCGGUGAGGAUUCCAUUGGCUAUUGAGCCGAAUCUUAGAACUUUUUCUUCUGAAUUCGUUUUUACUGCAUGAGAGUAGUGUCAUGAACUACAAUCUGAUCCAGAUGCUUGGUGACACGAAAGUGUUCAUCCGGUGUCAGAUCUAGUUUGGGAAAGCAAACCAAACAUAAGAGUGGAAACCUACCUAUGGGCGAUUUGUGAAUGCUGACGAGUCUUAAACAUAACGCAUCUCUUCUUUUCUAGGGCCAGAGUGGAAACCUACUGGUCUGGGUUGAGAGAGAUAGUUGUCUAUGACCACGGCAGUGGCGUAUUCAUACAUCCGUGACUCCAGUUCGAAAAGUUUAAGCUAAGAUCUUAUCAAAUUUACUCUCUAGCAAUGUUUUAAAUCGUUCAUACCCCUGAGAAAACUUCCCUGAACCCAGCGCUUUCUAAUCUAUAGAUUGACACCGAUUUUCAUUCAAGCUUUAGUCUAGUAUCUUUACUCUUUCUAUCGAUUUUCAUUUAAGCAAUUAGGUUAGCCACUUUUCUCGUUUUUACCCGUUUUCGUUAAGUUUAGUUAUUAGGUCAUUUUAAUUACCGUAUUUUCUCUUUAGGAUUCGUUUUUACGUUUUAAACACACCACCAAUACCCUCACAAAACUCGCCUGGUUCUAGACUUCCUUACUUUAUAUUUCUUUCGAAGGCUUUUGCAGGAAAGAUCCUCCUUCCCUGUGGAUUCGAUACCUAAGUACUACAAUCGAUCAGCUGUGCACUUGCGGCUAUUGAUUUCAUUUAGGGUAAAACUUGACACCCUCGACACACACCACAUCAAGUUUUUGGCACCGUUGCCGGGGAAGGCACGCGUUUUUUUUCUUCUUAGGGUGCCUUCACCGUUGCCGGGGAAGGCACCCUAAGAAAGGUUGGUAAAUCGACUCUAGAACUCCUUUUUCUGCAUAUUUCCAUUUUUCGGUUAUUUUGUUUCCAUUUCAGAAGAUAUGGAUCCUAUAAAUCGAAAUUCAUACUAUGAGGGAGGUUUUUACAACACUCCUCAAGCCACCAGACGCAAAGAGAAGGAGUAUCUACGCGAUCUCUACGAAGAAAUUCGAACCGAAGACUACAGAACGUUCCAGAACGAGCCAUACGUACCUCCAAUGGCAAACCCUAGACAUCCUAUUUAUCGCCUACCUCACCAGAUUCUCCACCAAGAUGAGAACGUCCAGCUCAGUAACCGAUUAAGUCAUCUCGAAGGCGUGAUCAAGCAAUUCAUAGAAGCUCAAGCAACCGCUACAGCCGCUCUAAACGAAAGGAUUGACGGGAUAUCAAAAAUUUUCAAUGAGAAGAUCGAUAACCUAGCCUCACAAGUCAAAUCAAUAGAAGAACGAGCAACCAAGGACGCAACUAUGAUCACUAAUAGGUUCGACAGCAUGGUGGAAGAGCAAGCGAAGCACACCUAUGAGCUUCGCAACACCAAAAACAAAGUCAUGGACCUGGAUUUCAAACUCGAUGAUGUGGACAAAGCCCUCAACGAAGCUAAGAACGAGUCCUAUGACUUCACAGUCGAAGUUUCAGAGAAGGUUUACAAAGUCAUUGACAAAACCGAAGAACUUGACUAAACCAUGGACAAAGUAGUCUAUGCUCUUGAUAAAGUUGAAGAAAAGGUUGAGGAGAUCAUGCAAGGACUUAGAGAGCAGAUUCUAGCAACCAAAACUAAAUACUCAAGUCCAGAGAGGACGAACAUCAAGCCAGAAGACCCAGGAGAUCAUCCAGGAAGCAAAGGAGCAAGCAACAACAGCAAAUCAACUCGGAGACACUUUCCCGGGGUCGCGUCGCUUCCGACCGCGGCCAAGAUGCCUUCUCCUGCGGUCGUGCUUGGUCUACCCGUGGCCCAUGGGCGUUUUCCCGCGGUCGCGUCCUCUGCAGUCAAGGCCAACCGGAAAAACGUUCCAAAACAGUCCCGUUCAGCUUAUACAAGCAGCUGUGCGACUGAUACACAUCCUAGGAUGACUAAACCACUCCAUCAACAACUGGUUUGCUCCAUCAGCACCCAAAGAUCUGAAGACGAGGACAAGUCGUGGCCCUGCAACAUGGCUUGGUCUUGUGAAGAUGAGUAUGAAGAACAAUACUCUGAAGAUGAAGAGUAUGGGUUGUUUGUAGAAUAUCCAAACGCUGGAUAUUCCUCAGAAGACAGUUCAGGAGAAAUUCAAUGGAUCACCAACAACAUCAGUAUAGAGAAGCUCAUGGAGUUCAACAACGUGGUCAGGUCAUUCCCUGCUCACCUAAGCUUUGAUGAAAUCUGAAAGUUUGGUCGUUUGCAAGUCUUUUUCAGGUACUGCAAGGAGUCUAAAGAGGAUAUCCAUAGAUACUUUAUGCGAGCUCGAUACAUGACAACACCAGAAGCAGCUGUCUAUGCGAUUCACCUCAAAAAGUCUGAAGACUGCAGCCACUACACCAACAAAAUCAGCAAAGAAAAGCUCGAUGAAUUCAAUGAUGUAGUCCAAAAUUUUCCUGAAGGAAUCACCUUUGCCAGAGCUUGCAAGGACUUCAUGAUAGGCCAUUACUUCUGUGAGAGCAAGGAAUCAAUCCCUGAGAUAGAAGACUUUUUCAAUCAUGCCAGAAGAGGUAAACCUGUUCGAACACUUCACAAAAUCGAAGGUGUAUGUCAGUUCUUUAUCUCUUGCUCUAUUAGAGGAGAAAUAUUUAAAAACGUGCUUUGUGAUUAUGGAGCUUGUCUUAACAUGAUGUCCAAGGCAAUUGCUUUGAGACUUGGUAUUAAACACCUGCGCAAGACUAGAGCAAAGAUCAGUCUAGCUGAUGAUUCCAAUGCAACACCUCAAGGAAUAGCUCAUGAAAUUCUUUUGAGAAUAGGAGAUUGCAUCAUGCCUGUCGACUUCUACAUUGUCGAAACGAGAGACACAACAUAUCCAGUGAUUCUCGGAUGGUCUUUUCUAGCAACUUCCGGCGCUAUAACGGACUGGCCAAACCGGAGGAUUUCAUUUGCUAAUAUCGACAAAGAUGUCUUCACAGAAGCUGUCUCAUACAACAGCAAAGCAGGAAAACGUUCUGCAACAGAAGAAUUUGAAGAAGAGCUUUGGAGUGACGAAGAACCUGCUAGGCAAAGCAAGGAGAUGUCGAAAAAGACUUGUCUCAGGACAAGGUCUUCUUCAUUGGACUAAGCCACGUCCAACACCAAAAGUCGAGCUAAACGACUUAAAACAGAAGCGUUUAAUGGGAGGCAAGCCAUUUAGGUAUUGUUUUCUUUAGGAUUUUUCUUUCUUUUUCUAUUGAUCAUUUUCUUUUUCUUAGUUUCAGUGUUUUUUAUAAAACAAAAAAAGCAAAAAAAAAUCAAAAAACCUGAAAAAACCAAAAAGAAGGAUGAUCCCUGACUGCUCGGCCCAGCAGGAACCAAGAAGAAGCAGGAACAGGCCGCAAUAUAAGCCUCCGCGGUCGCAGGUGUUCUGACCGCGGGAAACACCUAUUCGACCGCGGCCGCGUCUUUCUGACCGCGGCCAAUCACCGGUUUGCCGCGGUCGCCUGACUCCUGACCGCGGCAAAUGGUCGUUGAGAUGAUACCCGACCCCAAAAACUCACUACACCUCAUUCCACCUCACCAAGCCCCACUCCACCUCAUUCAUCACUUCCCACCACCUUCCAUCACCACCUAUCACCUUCCCAAAUCUCUUCGAAUGAAUCCGGUCAAUCUCCACCAGCAUCCCGGAUCCAGGUAAGUUCUCUUUGGCCUUACCAAUUCGAUUAUCUAUGCAUUUUUCUCAUCCAAUCUCGACUUGUUUUACACUGAGGACAGUGUGAUUUAAGUCUGGGGGAGGAUUUCAUCCCUUUCUAACCACUUUUUUUUCAUGAGUCUUGCAUUAUCUACACUUUCUGCAUUUUCCUUAAAGUUUUUCAAAAUCGGUUUUCAAAACAAAAUACGUUUUAAAGGGAAUGGUGAACAUGAAUCAAUGAUAGUUGACUGUGUGCUUUUAGACUGUUCCUAGUGACAUGCUCAUUCAUGAUUUAGGACUAGACUAGGUGGUAGCUAAGCACAUUUGAAACGAAGUACCGCAGAGGAAUUUGAAUGAUUUCGAUUUAGAUGAAGGAAUACACUAGCUCUGUUUUAUUUAAACUUAAUUUGGACUUAAUUUUCUCAUUGAAGCAUUAGACCAGGGAAAUGAAUCAUACAUUCAGGACUCCUUUACCCAUUUUACCACUCUCUGUUGAUCCUGAAUGGCUAGUUCAUCUUUAGCUAGUUCCCCACCUUAACCAAUCCUCUUUCAAACCACAUGCACUCUUGUUUUCUAUUGUCUUAUAUGCAGAUAAGUGCAAAAACGUUGGAGAGAAAGAGGAACGACGCAGUUUUCAGUCACCAAGGACAGAGACCUGCGAUUUGCCGGAAAAGUUCCCGGAAUGAUUCAACAUAAGAGGAAGCUCAGUUUGCCUUAGAAAAAUCUCAAAUUUUGGUACAAUCUUGUCCUCUAGUCUCUCUCUCUUUAAAAGGCUUUUCCUUCCCCCCAAAAACAAAAAAAAAUAAAAAAAUCCAAAAAUAGAAAGGAAAUAAAAGCCUUAGAGAGUCUAGAGAGGUCGAAUUUUAAGUCCCAAGGCAACUGGAGUUCGAUUUUAUGGAGUUUUGGAGAUCAUUUUCUGAUUUCCAGAAAGAAUCUAAGUCUGGGGGAAUAGCUAUUUACAACAAAGGAGGAAGGAUUAUGCAACAACAUUUGGCAAGAAGAAAUGACUGAAAAUUGCGGUCAUCAACAGGUCCUUAUCUCUCUUGCGGUUUUGCAUAUUAUCUUGCAUCCUCCAGAUUCAUCAGGUAACCCUAAACACUUUAACUCCACCACUUAAGCAGCCCUUUAAUCCCAAACGCCGUCUACCAUGGAUGAUGUCUUUAAUGAGAACUCACUAUUGAACUUAAUGAAUGUAGAGAACUAGUUGACUGGAAUAAGGAUUUAGAUUGUUUAAGUUUUGCAUGAUGGAAAAAGUGGACUAGUAUCUCUUGUGUAUUGGUGAGAAUUUUCUAGACUAAGUUGUAAAUUGAUGCACGAUCUUUGGUCCUAGUUUAGGAGUUCAUGUCUCUGAGAUUUGUGCAUUCCCUAUUUUUGUUUUCACUUAACCAGUUUAGGCUUUUGCUUUGUUUGAGGACAAACAAAGGUUUAAGUUGGGGGAGUUGAUAACACCGUAUUUUGACCACUUUUAUGGAUCGUUUUGAAAUACUUUUUCUAUGUUUUUAAUUGCUUUUAAGUAUUUUUAUAACGUUUUUCUAGUAUUUGUAGUUCCAAGACUUUUUUCAGGUAACUUUGGGAAAAGCUUAACAAAUUGGAUAGAAAACCACAUUUUAGCUCAGAGUCAAACCGUCAGAAGUUCACCCCCGAUUGAAGGCCUUCUCACUGUCUGAUCCAGCUCAAAUUUGGAGAUCUUAAAGAUGGAAAUACCAGCUUUCCAGCACAUUUUACAGCUUGGCAAUCCAACGGUUCAAUCAAAAGAUACGCGAAGAGCAAGAUGUCCCGUAAACCAGCCGUCAUGCGUUUCCACCCGCGACCAACAGGCCAUUCCCCGCGGUCACAACCACCGAGACCGCGGCAAGCCACCCAUUCUCCGCGGUCACGCACUUCCCGACCACUGCCAGCUAACUCCGACUUUGAAGGCCCAUUUCUGAAGCAUGUAUCAUUUUCCCUGCCUCAAUUCCGGAACCCUAGACACCAGAGAGUAUUGGAGACUAUAAAUACAUGUCAUUUAGGUCGUUUUUAAGAGAAGAAGAGAGACGAAAUACUUUACAGAAAUUAUACUUUAAGCUUUGUUUUGGGGAAGAGAGAGAUCUGUCUCUUGAACCCUUGUUCUUUCUUUUCAAUUUCGGUUUCUAUUCUACCUUUUAAUACUAUGUUUUUGACUUUGUUUAUUAUGUCUGAGUAGUUUUAUUGUUGGGUCUAAUGGAUUUUCGAUGGGGAUAUAUAUGUUCGAUGAGGAUUCCAUUGGCUAUUGAGCCGAAUCUUAGAAUUUUUUCUUCUGAAUUCGUUUUUACUGCAUGAGAGUAGCGUCAUGAACUACAAUCUGAUCUAGAUGCUUGGUGACACGAAAGUGUUCAUCCGGUGUCAGAUCUAGUUUGGGAAAGCAAACCAAACAUAAGAGUGGAAACCUACCUAUGGGCGAUUUGUGAAUGCUGACGAGUCUUAAACAUAACGCAUCUCUUCUUUUCCAGGGCCAGAGUGGAAACCUACUGGUCUGGGUUGAGAGAGAUAGUUGUCUAUGAUCACGGCAGUGGCGUAUUCAUAUGUCUGUGACUCCAGUUCGAAAAGUUUAAGCUAAGAUCUUAUCAAAUUUACUCUCUAGCAAUGUUUUGAAUCGUUCAUACCCCUGAGAAAACUUUCCUGAACCCCAGCGCUUUCUAAUCUAUAGAUUUACACCGAUUUCCAUUCAAGCUUUAGUCUAGUAUCUUUACUCGUUCAAUCGAUUUUCAUUUAAGCAAUUAGGUUAGCCGCUUUUCUCGUUUUUAUCGUUUUCGUUAAGUUUAGUUAGUAGGUCAUUUUAAUUACCGUAUUUUCUAAUUAGGAUUCGUUUUUACGUUUUAAACACACCACCAAAACUCUCACAAAACUCGCCUGGUUCUAGACUUCCUUACUUUAUAUUUCUUUCGAAGGCUUUUGUAGGAAAGAUCCUCACUCCCUGUGGAUUCGAUCCCUAAGUACUACAAUCGAUCAGCUGUGCACUUGCGGCUAUUGAUUUCAUUUAGGGUAAAACUUGACACCCUCGACACACACCAACAUCAAAGCCCACUUCGCCAUUCCUCUUCAGAGAAGCCCUAAAUGAGACCUGGACCUUAUGACCUAUAAAUACAUUGUUUAGCAGUUUUAAACGGGUGUGUGCUCCUGUAAUGAGAUUUUGAGCCACCAAACUUUGUUUUUCUGGGUUAGACGAUGGAGAUGGGGAUUCUUCUCCAGAUCCAUUGUUCUUCCUAUUUUUUUAUCUUAUUAACUUUUCUGUUUCAUUCUUUUGCAUUCUUCUAUGUCUUUUUAUCAUUCAUUGCAUCAUGUAGAUUAGUCCCAGAGAGUCAAGUUGUUUGAAGAUAUCGACAAGCAUAUAUAUCGAUUAGGAUUGCUAUUGUUCUUAGCCAUAUUCUGGAUCUCAUCUCUUCUAAGUUAUUCGUAAAGCAUGAGAGUAGAUUCAUGACCUAUUAUCUGAGCCUAGGAUUGAUCAGAGCCACGAGAGUACUGUAUCAGAUCAUCCGUACCUAGCUUCAAAAGAACAUAGUCGCUAUAGGAGUCAAAAGCUACCUAUAGAGAAGAUGUGAGCAAACGAAUUCGAUGUCCAAUGCAUGAUCUUAAGUUUAGCAUGAGAGCGAGAGUUAAUUGCAAGAUCUAAGAGAUUAGUUUAUUAAGGUGACGACAGUUGGUUAAUCAUACAUGUGUCUAUUCUAGUUCAAUGCAGAUUCCCAGAAACAGAUGAAAAUAAAUCGCCCGGAAGCUAAUUGGAAAUGCCACCAUACAUCGAUUAGAGUAAACCCGAGAAGUCUAAAUCGCCACCUAUGAGUUUAAGAGUCUUUAGUUUGAGUCGAUAUGCUUUAGAUGUUCUUUUAACAAUUCAUCCUGCAUUGCAUUUCUUGUGAAUAUUAGAUUAAGUUUAGUUUAUGAUCUUAACCAAAAAACCCCAAAUCUUUUAUAGGUUUAUGAGUUUGCUUACUUUCCAGUUUGUUGUUUCUUGCAGAUUAGACAUCCUCCCUGUGGAUCGACACCCUAAGUCCUACAACGUACAUUUGUGCACUUGCAGACACUAGGGUUUUAUAAAUUUAAAAAUUUUGGAGGACCAACGGGCUUGUUAAAAAACAACCCUAGGCCCGCAAGCCCAUCAACCAUAACGAUCGGUUCGGAGAAGGCAUCGCCUAUCAUCCCGACCAUAGUAUAUAAACAUAAAUAAAUUAAAGAUAAUUAAAAUCUCACUUUUUCGGUAUAAAAAUAUAUCUCACCUUUAUAAUAUUAGAUCGGAUCACGAGACCAUUGUGCUGAUAACAUGUUAUAUAUUAUAAUAUAUUAUGUGUUUAUGUAUGUAUAUAAUAGUAGUGAGCAGUGUAUAUUUAUAAAGGUAAUAGUGGCGAGCGGUAUCUAUUAUAUAAAGACUCAGUUGAGUCUCGUAAGAUUGACAUAUAAGCUUUUAUUCUUAAGACAUAUCAUUUGUCAGCUAUUAAAAAUAAUUAAAAAAAAAAACAAAACAAAACAAUAUUAAAAGAGAAAAAAAAUCAGAUUUGGAAGAGGAAAAAAUGACGGUCAGAGACACUUAGGAAUGACAUUAAUCAAAAUACUUCUGCUCCAAUAACUCGAAAUUUGAAUACGCGUCAAACUUCCUUUUAUUGGCACCAUUAACUCUCAUCUAUAUUUAUUAGAUAUUUGCAAAUGCUUUUAGUAUAGUAAAACUACGAUUCGUGAAUUGGCUAAAAGAAUCUUUGAAAUGCCCUUAUCGACACAGUUCUUCUUCCUAAACUAAAAAAUAAACGCAUCAACCCUCAUUUUUAGGAAACAUAGCUUGGCCGGAGAUGUCUUAGGCCAUGGUGGAGGAUUCGAGGAGGAGAACAUGCUUUGGUGGUGGGUAAUGAAGCGGGAGAGAGGCUGAGGAUAAAAUGAUAAAAUGAAGAUGAAUAAGAAGAAGAAGAA
rnacentral:lncRNA from 1 species